GGUGCUAUAGGUUUCAUGCCUAUUAAGGUUGAUUUAGAGAAGGCCUAUGAUCGUCUCAAUUGGGAAUGCAUUAGUGAUACUUUGCGAGAAGCUCGGAUUCCUCCUGAUCUUAUCCAAGUUAUUAUGGCAUGCAUUACCUUGGUUACUAUGAGGGUCUUAUGGAAUGGGGAAGCUACUGAUGAAUUUUUUCCUUCCAGAGGAAUUCGUCAGGGCUGCCCUUUAUCUCCUUACCUCUUUGUCCUCUGCAUAGAACACCUUAGUCAUGGGAUUCACAAUUGUAAGAAAAAUAAACACACAGUGAGAUAACAAUCCAAUACAGUAGCUAAUGUAAAACAGCAACUGGAAAUCACAACUGUAAAACAGCAACUGGAAAUCACAACUGGAAAACAGCAGGGAAAAGAAGAAAAAUUGAAACAGAAAUGAGACCCGAAACCUGCAAAAGACAGUUUCCUUAAAACAGAUUUACCACCUACUGAAGUGUUUUAGGUCAGCUGGUAACUGUUUCCCAGGAUACAAUGAGCACGAAUUUUCGGUUAAGCACAGACAGGUAAUUCCGGCGAACCACAACAGCAGUAAACUCGAUCAAGAAAACAGAUGAAAGAAGGAGUAAAGAAAGAUUGCAAGUACUUUGUGUGUUGGUUUCAGUGUGCCCAAAAACAGAAGAAGAAACAGAAGAAGAUGUGGCUUUUUAUACUCAUGUGAGGAUGUAACUGCAGUAUUGUAUUGAAUUUCUGAAUUCAAUAUAUGCUAUUAAACAGUGAUAACAGCCAAUUCAAUUCAAUCAAAACGUGAAUUCAAAAUUGAAUUAAAAAACGUGAAUUGUAUAACAACUAAAAAUAAUUGUUGUGAAGCUGUUACAAAUCCUUUGAAUUCAAAACGUGAAACUGUUACAACAAAAGAUUCAAAAGAAAAUUAAAAACGUAUCAUGCAAUUUUGGAUGAUUUUGGGCUGACAUUCGCGUAUGCAGGACGCGUGGGCGCACACGAGUUCAACUAAACCGAUCUUGGAUUUGCACUCCCCGCGCACGCGCAUGUGGAGAGAGCUUUUAUCCUUAUAAUUCUUACUCAUGCAUGGUUAAGUGUUUAUAUAUAAACACCAAUCCCUUGGCUUCUUUUUCCCACGUGGGAUAAGCCUCAUUUUCUUUCAAAUUUCCAACUUCAAGGGUGAUCUUUGAGAGGCAAUUUCUCAUUCACCCAAGCACUAUUUUGAGAAAAUAAAAUUACACUUUUGAAGUAUUAACGGAAUAGAAUCCGAACCUCACAAGAUUUCUCACUUUCGUUAAGUGGAACCCACUCAAAAUGUGCCCUCAAAAUAGCAUAUAGACAUGUUAUUUUUUCAACAAUCCCCCACGUGUAUGAAAAUUGGCAGUAAAACAAAAAACUGCUAUAUUUUUUACAUCAAAACCAUUUUUGACCUUAAUGAUCGAGUUUAUUAGAUCGAUACCUGUUGUGUAAAUUUUAAUGUACUCGCAAGCGCACGAAUCUAUUGUAGUGUAGAUCAAUGGUGACGAGUGUCGAUCCCACGAGGAGGAGGAUUUUAAUUGUGUAUAGAAUUAAUUUUGCAAAAUGGGUGGUUGGAAUUGUGGUGGAAGUGAUUUAAAUUAUCCUAAAAUGGGAAUUGAAAUUGCGAUAAUAAAUUCUAAAAUUGGAAUUGCAAUGGCGAGAAUAAGUUGAAGCGAAAUCUAUUGAAAUGACGUACUUGGGUAUCUGGAUCCGUAUCAACAUGCAUCAUGGGCUAAAUAUUUCUUAUUAAUGCCAAUUAAAUCAUGAGGGGGGAAUCCACACCUCAUGAACCACACUCUAAUCAAUAUGGUGCUAAGGGCUUAUCGUGCCAAAUAAUAAUAACCUUAUACUAGAGAGCCGGUGUAACCAAGGCGGUAUCUAGACAAGAUCAGUAUUAUUUGUCGACGAUAAGUCAAAUCAUCCACAAAAACUAGAGGGGAAAAGAAAAUAAAUUUACCAAAUAAAGCCCAUGACACAUGUUGAGACUUCACCUUCAACCCAAGCUUGAAAGAAAAUUAGCCACUCAUAAUUGAACUAGGGGCAAAAAGGGAAUUUAUUAAAAUACAAAGAAAAUACAAGAUGGAGAAGGAAUUACAGAAAAUGGAUCCCAAAAAUGGAUUCAGAGAUAUCAAAUUAGGGGGGGGAGGCCCCCUUUUUAUAGAUACAUGGAGUAAAUCAUGACCAUCGGAUUAAAAACAGUUUGGACGCUCAGGAUUGCGCCACGUCAUCAGUCAACAGUCCACGGUUUGACCACGCGGAUGAACAGUAACACGGUUUGACCCGGAUGAACAGUAACGCGGUUUGGUUGAAAAUAAUCCUGUGUGAUGCAUGCACCGUACGCGAGAUUUUUCGUCCACUGAUAUGCUGCCACGUCACCGUCAACAGUACAUAAGAAUUUUAGUCCAAUAGGAUCGUGACACCUCAUCAGUCAAUGCCACAUCAUCGGUCAAUGCCACGUCAUCGAUCCGUCUAUGUGAACAGUGUCGUGAACAGUAACGUAGACAGUACCGUAUACGUGAAUAGUACCGUACAUGUGAAUAGUGCCAUUUUUCCUUUUAUGCUCCUCCUAAGGUUUUCGACCGUCCUGAGUUCAAAAGUGAUGUCCGUUUUGCCGUCUGAUCUCUCCUUUAUUGUGAAAUGACUAUAAUGCCCCUAAAAUACAUAAAAUACUUAAUUAAAAUAACACACACGUAAUUACAUCACAAGAAGGUUAAAUACAUAAAAGUAAGGGUUGUUAGUAAGACUUGAAAUGUAAAAUGACGGUUUUCUCCUUUAUAAAUAUGCAUUUUCUAACACUCAACAAUACCUAGCACAGGAUAUGUAAAUGUUAUCUUUUGAACCUUCCCUUGUAAUAGUAUAAUUACUUUACUGGUUGAUCAGUAGACGCGAUGUCUUUGAACUAUGUUGUCGUUAGUGUAAACGAUCAUAUACUACACAUAGGUAUUUCUCUUAACACUAUUGAGUUCUCAUGGUUAUGUUCGUUUUGGCCUUGACCAUCUGCCUGGUUCUGCAAGAGUUUCUAAGAGCUAAACCCUUUAUAGCUCCCUUUGAACUGGCCCCACUUCUCUCUCACAUAGGUGAUAUCUUAAUUAAGAGUAACCCGCAUUAUUCCGCUCGAAUUUCCUAUGCAUAUGAAUCAUUAAGAGCCUAGCUCAACUUUAUUCCCCACGGGCAUCACUGUUUCAUCAUAGAAAUGGUCAAUGAGGUAAUCCUCUCAAGAGAAUAACCCCCACAGUGAUCCAACUUUAGUCUUUAACAAAUAGGUUGUCCUAUUAAACCUAGAUCUUGGGAUCUCCAGUCAACUAGGUUGGGUUUUCCUUCGUUAUUGACUAAUCAUCCUAUGGAUUUUAAUCUCAUUCCCCUCAAUGAUUUUUCUACUAACUCUCUAUUUAACAUUUUGGUUAGUGGAUCCACAAUGUUAUCAUUUGACCUCACAUAGUUAAUAGAAAUAACUCCAGUAGAAAUAAGUUGUCUAAUGGUAUUAUGUCUACGGCAUAUGUGUCUAGACUUACCAUUAUACAUAUUGCUUUGUACCUUAUCGAUAACUUAUUGACUAUCGCAAUGAAUACAAAUUGUAGGCAUUGGCUUUGGCCACUUUGGAAUACCUUCUAAAAAAUUACGUAACAAUUCUGCUUCUUCACCACAUUUAUAUAAUACAAUGAAUUCAGAUUCCAUUGUAGAUUUGGUAAUUACUGUUUGUUUAGAAGAUCUCCAUGAUACAGCUGCACCUGCUAGUGUAAACACAUAGCCGCUAGUAGAUUUUGAAUCUUUUAUAUCUGAUAUCUAGUUAGCAUCACUAAAUCCUUCUAAUACUUAUGGAUACCUAGUAUAGUGCAAUCUAUAAUUGCGAGUAUAUCGAAGAUACCUAAGUACUCUUACGAUAGCUUUCCAGUGAUCAAUUCCUGGAUUACUCAUAUAUCUACUAAGUUUACUUACUGUAUAGGCUAGAUCUGGUCUGGUACAAUUUGUUAAGUACAUCAGACUGCCUAUAAUUCAAGCAUAUUCAACUUGAGAAAUACACUCUCCUCUGUUUUUCAAUGAAUGGAUACUCAUAUCUAAUGAAGUCUUAGACACAGUAUUAUUAUCUCUAUUAAAUUUUUCAAGAAUUUUAUCUACAUAAUAAGUUUGACUUAGAAUAAGUCCAUUAGAAGCCCUUGAUAUUUUAAUUCCCAAAAUGACAUCUGCAAGACCCAUGUCUUUCAUGUCAAACUUAGACUUCAACAUAUUCUUGAUAGAUUUAAUCAUGUCAUUAUCACUCCCAACAAUGAGCAUAUCAUCAACAUAUAAACAUAAAAUGACAGUCAUUUUCUGUUUCUUUAACAUAAACACAUUUGUCACACUCGUUGAUCUUAAAUCCACUUGUGAUCAUCGUAUGAUCAAAUUUUUCAUGCCACUGUUUCGGUACUUGUUUCAAGCCAUAUAAUGACUUUACCAAUUUACAAACUUUCUUUUCUUGUCCUGGAGCUAUAAAACCUUCAGGUUGCUCCAUGUAGAUUUCUUCAUCUAAAUCUCCAUUUAGAAAAGCCGUCUUUACAUCCAUUUCAUGUAUCUCGAGAUUGCGCAAAGCUGCAAUUGCUAUUAUCAUCUAAAUGGAAUUUAUUCUCGUAACAAGAGAAUAAGUAUCAAAGUAAUCAAGGCCUUCUCGUUGCCUAUAACCUUUAAUUACUAGCCUAGCCUUUGUACUUAUUGAUUGAUCCAUCGGCUUUUAAUUUCCUUUUGAAAAUCCACUUAUACCCCAAAGGUUUACAUCUUGGAGGAAGAUCUACUAGCUCUUAAGUAUGAUUUUGUAAAAUGGAUUCAACUUCACUAUUAAUGGCUUCUUUCCAUAAAGCGCCUUCAGCUGAAAUUACAGCUUCUUUGAAGUUUUGAUGUUCACUUUCUAGCAAAUACGUCAGAAAGUCUAGACCAAAAGACUUUUCUAUUCUAUCUCUUUUGCUAAGUCUGACCUCAAUUUCUUGUUCUUCUUCUUCUUCUUCUGGUGCUUCAUCAUUUUCAAUUGUUGUUUCAUGAAAUUAUCAUAGUUCUCUCGAUUCCACUUUAGAAUUGCAAGGAAACACAUGUUCGAAAAACGAUGCAUAUCUUAAUUCUAUUAUUGUAUUUUUGUGGACAUCUGGAACUUUAGACUCAUACAUCAGAAAUCGAUAAGCACUACUGUUUUGUGCAUAACCGAUGAAAAUGCAGUCAAUAGUUUUUUGUCCUAUUUUUACUUUUUUAUUUGAAGAAACCACUGCUUUAGCAAGAUAUCCCUACACUCGUAAGAAUUUAUAAGAAGGUGUUCUACCUUUCCAAAGCUCAUACGAGGUUUUAUCUUCUUACUUUCGGGGUAUCUUAUUUAAUAAAUAAUUAGCUGACAAAACAGCUUCUCCCCACAUAUUCUGGGGUAACCUAUAACUUAUCAACAUUGUAUUCAUCAUUUCCUUUAAAGUUCGAUUCUUUCAUUCUACAAUCCUAUUAGAUUGAGGUGAAUAUGGAGCCGUGAUUUGAUGUAUGAUUCCACUUUGUUCACAUAGUGACAUAAACGGAACAACAUACUCACCACCACGGUCGCUCCUUAAUUCUUUAAUUUUUCUAUUAAGUUGAUUCUCAACUUCAUUUUUGUAGAGAAUAAACUUUCCCAAAGCUUCAUCUUUACUUUUCAAUAAAUAUACAUAGCAAUAUUUUGUGCAAUCAUCUAUAAAAGUAAUAAAAUAUUUGUUACCACCUCUUGUUUGAAUGGAUUUAAAAUCACAAAUAUCACAAUAUAUUAAAUCAAGUGGUUCGAUGUUUCUUUUAAUUGUUUGGAAAGAUGACCUAGUUAGUUUUGUCUUAACACAAGUUUUACACUUAUGUUUCAAAUCAAUUUAGAAAUUGGGAAUAUGCUUCAUGUUAAUUAAUUUACGCAAAGAAUUAAAAUUAACAUGUCCUAAUCUACCAUACCAAAGAUUAGAAGACUCAAGCAAAUAAGCAGAAGAACUAGCUUUAUUAUUAAUUCUUGGUUUCAGAGUUAUUACAUUAAGCUUAAAUAGCCUAUCAUUAACAUAACCCUUUCCCACAUACAUCUCAUUCUGUGACAAAACUACCAUAUCUGAUUCAAACACCAUUCGAAAACUAUGUUUGUUCAACAGCGAUCCAGACACCAAGUUCUUCUGAAUUUCUGGCACGUAAGCACAUCGUUCAGAGUCAGCUCUUUUCUAGAAGUCAUCUUCAAAAUCAUCUUCUCUUGACCCUCAAUAUCAGACGUAGUAGAAUUCCCCAUGAAUAACUUCUCUCAAUUGCAAACUGCUUCAAAUAAAGCGAACAACUCUUUGUUCGACAUGUCUGGUUGCUCCCGUAUCAAUCUACCAAUCUCUCAUAUUAUAGCCAACUAGAUUUACUUCUGAAACCACUGCAAAGAGAUUUAUGUCUGAAACAUGUUGAGUGAUGUUUUCCACCACAUUUACUUCUCGCUUCUUUUUAGGCAACCUGCAAUCCGAAGCCUUGUAACCCAUUUUAUCACAAUUAAAACAUUUUCCUUGAAACUUAGUUUGCUUCUUGGAAAUUCCUCCUUUCAGACCCAAUUUUUUUUUAUUAUUUUUAGGUCUAUGUUCAACAACAUUUGCCUUUGCCAUAGAAAUAGCCCAUUUUCUUUCUGUAUUUCUGUUAUCUUUCUCAAUUCGGAGCUUAACAACCAACCCUUCAAUAUUAAUUCCUUGCGUUUAUGCUUCAAAUAGCUCUUGAAAUCUUUCCAAGCAGGAGUCAAUUUUUUGAUAAUUGCAGCCACUUGGAAAGUUUCACUUAGCAUCAUCCCUUCUGUAAGGAUUUCAGAUAAUAUUAUUUGAAGCUCUUGUACUUAACUUAUUACAGUUUUAGAAUCCACCAUUUUAUAGUCUAGAAAGCGACCAACAACAAACUUUUUGGUACUCGCAUCCUCAGUUUUAUAUUUCUGGUCUAAGGAUUCCCAUAGCUCCUUAGUUGUUUUCUUUCCUAUCUAUACGUUAUACAAGGAAUCACUAAGGCCAUUCAUUAUAUAAUUUUUACAUAAAAAAUCAUAAUGGUGCCAUGCAUCAAUUGCACUUGCAACUUGAACAUAUGUUUCACCCUCUUUGGGUUUAGGAGCAUCCUCUGUCAAGAACCUCGCAAGGUUCAACGUGGUCAAGUAAAAUAACAUCUUUUGCUGCCAACGUUUGAAAUUCUGGCCAUUGAAUUUUUCUGGCCUUUCCCCAUGAUUCACAGGAUUGCCCACAGAGGCUGGUUCUUUCACAACAGAUGGUGCAUCAACAAAAGUUGAAACAGGAACAUACCAAACAUCAUUAAUGGUUUCAGUUGCCAUCUUAAUGAUAGUAUAAAAUAUGUUUUAAAAAUGUAAGAAAAAUAAACGCAUAGUGAGAUAACAAUCCAAUACAGUAGCAAAUGUAAAACAACAACUAGAAAACAGCAGGGAAAAGAAGAAAAAUCGAAACAGAAAAUGAGACCCGAGACCUGCACAGGACAAUUUUCUUAAAACAGAUUUACCACUUAUUGAAGUGCUUUAGGUCAACUGGUAACUGUUUCCCAGGAUACAACGAGCACGAAUUUCCGGUUAAGCACAAAUGAGUAAUUCUGGUGAACCACAUCAGCAAUAAACUCGAUUAAGAAAACAGAUAAAAGAAGGAGGAAAGAAAUAUUGCAAGUGCUCUGUGUAUUGGUUUCAGUGUGUCCAAAAACAGAAGAGGAGGUGCCUUUUUAUACUCAUGUGAGGAUGUAACUGCAGCAUUGUAUUGAAUUUUUGAAUUCAAUUUAUGCCAUUAAACAGUGAUAACAGCCAAUUCAAUUCAAUCAAAACGUGAAUUCAAAAUUGAAUUAAAAAAAGUGAAUUGUAUAACAGCUAACAAUAAUUGUUGUGAAGCUGUUACAAAUCCUUUGAAUUCAAAACGUGAAACUGUUACAACAAAAAAUUCAAAAGGUGCCAUGCAAGCUUGGAUGAUUUUGGGCUGACAUUCGUGUACGCAGGACGCAUGGGCGCACAUGAGUUCAACUAAACCGGUCUUGAAUUUGCACCCCAUGCGCACGCGCAUAUGGAGAGAGCCUUUAUCCUUAUAAUUCUUACUCAUGCAUGGUUAAAUGUUUAUAUAUAAACACUAAUCCAUUGGCUUCUUUUUCCCAUGUGGAAUAAGCCUCAUUUUCUUUUAAAUUUCCAACUUCAAGGGUAAUAUUUGAGAGACAAUUUCUCAUUCACCCAGGCACUUUUUUGAGAAAAUAAAAUUACACUUUUAAAGUAUUAACGGAAUAGAAUCCGAACCUCAUAAGAUUUCUCACUUUCGCUAAGUGGGACCCACUCAAAAUGUGCCCUCAAAAUAACAUAUAGACAUGCUAUUUACAACAAUGUCAUUAAUGUUGGGAAGUGGCGUUCGAUUAAGUUAUCUCGUAAUGGUACCCUUUUAUCCCAUCUUUUCUUUGCUGACGACCUUCUUUUGCUCACAGAGGCUACUAUUGAGGAAGCUAGAGUUAUUUCCUCUGUGUUAGCAUAUUUUUUUUUUUUGCUCUGAUGCCAAAGUGAAUACAAACAAAAAUUUACUUUGUUUUUCCAAGAAUAUGGGUGCUAGAGAUAUUUCCUCAACUUUGAGUCUUCUUGGCUUCUCGGUUACGUCCAAUCUUGGUAAGUACCUUGGGGUUCCUCUGCAUCAUUCUCGAGUCUCUACCAACAUGUUUCAGGAGAUCAUCGACAAGGUGGAGAAGCGGCUGUCGGGUUGGAAUACUUCCCACUUGUCUUUGGCUGGUCGUAUCACUCUAGCUCAGUCCGUCCUCCAUGCAAUUCUAGUUUAUAUUAUGCAAAUUUUCUCCCUUCUUAAUGGUGUACGAGGGAGAAUUGAUAGGGCUUGCAGGAGGUUCAUUUGGAGCGGUUCGUCUCCUCAGCAGAUGCUUAGCAUGGUUAGUUGGCAUAAUAUGUGUAAGCCUAAAGCUAUUGGCGGCCUUGGUUUUAAGUCUUUGGCAAUAAUGAAUCAAGCUUUACACAUAAAGCUCGCUUGGGGUAUAAUUUCUUCUCCAAAUAGUUUAUGGGUCAAGGUCCUCACUACCAAAUACAGAAUCGAUCCUCUCAAGUUGCCUCAUAAGCUUCCUACCCGUUAUGGCUCUCACUUGUGGAAGUCUCUUGGGCAUGUUUGGAGCGAGGUCCUUGCGAGGAGGCGUUGGUGUUUAGGUGAUAGUCAGUAUGUUCGUUUUUGGUGGGAUCUUUGGGUCACUAAUAAUGUUCCUCUAAUGGCCUACGCAACUAAUGUUAUUCCCGUGGAAAUUUUGGAAUGCGAGGUGACUGACUUUAUUGAUGUGAAUGAGAGUUGGUAUUGGUCCCGCUUUGAACAGUAUUUUCCUAGCAAUAUUAUCCUUCGAAUAAUGGCUCUACAUCCCCCUUCUUAUGUGAAAGGCAUGGAUACCAUUUUUUAAGCUCACUUGAAACAUGGUAAGUUUACUACUAGCUCUGCUUAUUUAGCUCUCUCUGAUUAUAAUCCAGCUACUGAAGAUUGAGUUUGGAGGUUGAUCUAGACUUGGAAAGGCCCUCAGAACAUGCGAGUUUUCUUGUGGCAUGCUUUUCAUACCGGUUUGAAGACUAAGGCUGAGUUGGCUAAACGGCAUUUACCCAUCUCGACUUGUUGUGACUGUUGUGGGGUUGUGUGUGAAGAUGUUAUUCAUGCUCUAUGUGAUUGUCCUUUGGUUAUGUAGUUUUGGCUUAACAUCAUCCAUAUAAGUAAACGACAAGGUUUUUUUAAUUCUCGACUUAAUCGUUGGCUACACUCGAAUUUGGUUGAUGACAGUAGGGUGGGGGAUGUUUCAAGUUGGGCUAUUUUCUUUGGUGUUGCUUUAUGGAGGAUUUGGUUUUGGAGAAAUUAAUUUCUCUUUAACCAAAAGAUGAUGGACCCAACGACUUUGUUGGUGGAUGUCCAUACAAGAGCAGAGGAGACGCAUAAGCUUUAUAAUAGCUCGUUGGUCAUAAGGAAUAUUAGGGCUAACAAGUGAAUUUCUUGGCAACCUCCUGAGUGGCCAUGGUGUACUUUGAAUAGGGAUGGUGCCCACAAGUCUGAUCGGAUUUUUACUGCAGGUGGUCUGAUUCGGGAUUAUUUUGGGCGUUGGCUAACUGGGUUUGGGAUGAUGAUUGGCUCUUGCUUUAUUACGGUUGCGGAACUUUGGGGUUUGUAUCUGGGGCUUCAGCUUGCUUGGAACUCUGGCAUCUGUAGACUGAAAAUUAAAACGGAUAGCCUGUGUGUUACACAAUUGGUGGCUAGACCUUCGAUGAUGACUAAUGACUAUGCUCCCUUGAUUCAGGCUAUUAAGGAUUAUCUCAAAUUGGAUUGGCAUGUUUCCAUUUCCCAUAUCUACAGAGAAGCCAAUUUCGCUGCAGAUUAUAUGGCGAACCUCGCUUUUUCUCUUCCUCUUGGUUUUCUUGUGUACCUUACGCCCCCUUUGGGUGUUAGGUCUCUUUUCCUUCAUGACUUUUACGGAGUUUCUUACCCCCGUUCUGUUCUUCUUUAGCUCUUUUUAGAGCCCCAGUUAAAUAAAAAAUAAUAAUUAAAUAAAAUAAUUUUACUCUUCUUUAAUCAUGUUCAAAUGUUUCAAUUUUGCGUUCAAGUUUUAUAUCAUUUCCCUCUUAACUUAAUUGUGGGAUUAUUUUUGCUUUUGAAAUACAAGUUAUGCAACCCAAGAGGGGGGUGAAUUGAGAUUUUAAAAUUAUACAAUACAAUUCGCACAACAAUUUAAUCUAUUGUUUUAAUCAAAUCAAAAAGAAUAAAUUCAAUCAAGCACAAUAUUAAAAGAGUAAGGGAAGAGAAAACAAACACAAGGAUUUUUACGUGGUUCGGCUAUCCCCGCCUACGUCCACGCCUCCAAGCACACCCGGCUUGAGGAUUUCACUAUCCAAACCUCCCAAGGCUUCAAAUGUUUACAAUUGACUUCCAAGGUGUCAAUGGACCUUUACAACAAGAGAUUAUCUCCCCAAUCUCUUCACCCCAAGUGUUUCUCACACUAGUACACUCACAACUUGAUGAGAAAUGAAAAUCACAACAAUGAAACUUUCUUUAAGAGUAGAUAACAGAUUAUAGCUCAAUGAUGAUUCAAUAAAUGAUUAUUUGCAAAAUGGAAGCUUAAUAUAUGUUAUAUGAUCUUGUUUAUGCUUGCAUUAGUUUUUAGAAUGAAGUUUGAGUUGAGUUUUUAUAGUUAAGCCCGAAAACUAGCCGUUAUAGGCAAAUUCCUACGCCCAAGUGGUUAGCCGCUUGAUUUAUCCGGCUAGCCGCUCAGGAACAGUGAUAUUACCGUUAUAUUUGAAUUUUGCUACAGUAACACUGUUCACUAAAAAUACACUUUGGCCUAAAACUUUUUAUAAUUAUACUAGGCCCAAAACGUCAUAAAAUUUUUAUAAAUAGGUCCAAUUUCAUAAUUUUUUAAGAAUAGUUGUCUUUCCAAAAAUUUAUGAAAUUAUAAUAUGGCCCCAAAGAUAUUAUUAUUUCACAAAAAGGUCAUUUUCAACAUAAUAUCCAUAUUUUUCAAAGUUCUCAAAACCUUUUACUUUAGUCCAAAAUAUUCAUAAAUUAUAGUAUGGCCCAAAGCAUUCAAAUGUUUGUAAAAACGUCCAACUUCGAAAUUUAAUAAUAAUAAUACUUAUUAAAAUCAAAGAUUUCAAAACUUAGCAUUUAAGUCCAAAUUACUCAAAUCCACAAAAUACUUUACUUUAUAAAAAUAAAACCUUUUAGUUUAUGAAGUAUUUAAUUGAAUUAAUCUCUUGAGCUUCUUAAAUGCUAAAUCAUGCAUCAAUUAAAUCAUACCGGCUUUACAAGAAUUUAUCGCACUAAUUUAUUCGUUGAGCUCUAAAUUAUAUUCUUGAUAUCGCCAUUGUCCGUUGAGUGUCUUCAAUCUUGAUUUCACUUGAUUCACUUGCAUAAAUAUUAUCCUUAAAAAACUAGUGAAAAUGUGAAAUACAAUAUUUAUUAUUCUCACUUAAGACACAUGUUUGUUAUCAUCAAAAUUACAUUAUGUGUAACCCUUUAGGCUAACAAUCUCUGCCUUUUUUAUGAUGACAAACAUCUCAUAUAUUUUGACAUUUAUACUCCCCCUUAAUACAUGGCAUAUAUAAUUAAACAUAUAAAUCAAAUUCAAAAUAAAAACUCCCCCUGAAUAUUUCAAAAAUAUGCAGAAAUACUUUAAGAACAAAAUACAUAUUAUAUGUCUCCAUAUUCAAAAUACAUGAUCUCUCCCCCUUCAUCAUCAAAAUUACUAGAAAUUCAUUCUAAGAUCGAUAAUAUGUCAAUGGUUAAUCAAGAAACAUAUAAUAAUCAAACAUCUAAUUAACCAUAAAAUGAUCAUGAACCAUCAUGCCAUCAAAAGAAUGUUCAAAAUGCAUAUUAUCCAAAAACUUAUUGUAUGCUCCCCCUAAAUAUAUGGCCAACUAAAAUUUUUAACCAAAAUGAUAUUAUCUAAAAACUUAUCAUAUUUAUCUCCCACUUUAUCAUAAAAAAAAAAAAGAUAGAUAGAUGCAAUUCGAAACAAGAUCAUAAAAAAUAAUUCAAUGAAGAUAUUACCCAUUUUGUGCGAGCAAAAAUUUCGGCAGAGUCUCCCCUUAAAAAUGAACAAAUCCUCAAAUACACAACACGGUUAAAAACACUUCCAUAUAAGCUUAAACAAUUAUAACAAACCAACAACUCCAUCAAUUCUUCAAGUGACACACAUAUAAUCAUCAAUCAUCAAAUUCAAUAUGAAUUCCCCCAACACUUGUAACAAUUCUAUUUGAGGAUCCCAUAAUCAUAUUCGAAUAAAACACCUUAACUAAAUUUUCAUAGUAUUGCUCCUUAAUAACUAAAACAUUUUUCUAGCCCAUAGCAAUGAGAAAAUAACUAAGAGAUUUGUCACAAAUUUCUAAAUUCUUCAAAUUACGAAGAUUAACAAAAUAGGGAGCGAUAACCGACCUCGACAUAAAAUUGUCGUGAAACUGUUUCCGAAGAGGUAGAUGCUGAAAGUGGGUUGAUAUGAACUCUGUAUUAUCUCUAUAAUCGUCCUUACGUCUCUUGGCAACUUGUUUGCUCUUGGAUUUUUCACCACCCACUAUUGUUGGAACAAAAACAAGCUUAAAGAUCCAAUUUCGGGUUUACAAAAAAUUGAGUGAAAUGAAUUUGUUUGAGCCAAGAAAAUUGAUUCUAGAGAUGAAUAAAGCUAAUAUAUGAUGUAGAUUGGAUCAAAUAUGGGCUAAAGGAAGCUUGAAAAUGAAUAGAGAGAAAUGGAUAGAGUUAGGUUUUUUGUUUUGGAUUUUAUGUGAAGAGUUGAUGAAAUGAAGUUUUGAGAACGAAAAUUGAAGGAGUAAUGGAUGAAUAAUGAUUUGGAUGAUUGAUUUUAAUAAGAAAAUGAGUGAAAGAUGAAGAAAUUUGAGAGAGAAAUGGAGAAGUAUUGUUCACGCAUGAGAGAUGAUGAUGAAAUGAUGAAGAACAAGUGAAGAAAUAAUGAUUGGGAAGAGUUUAAUGAAGGUUAAAUGCAUGGGUAAUGGUUUAAGAGAUUGAUCUUGGCAUAAAAAUGGUUGAGAAAUGAAGAGAAAUUGAUUAGAAAUGGAAGAGAGUGGCUCACGGUUUUGGAGAGAGAGGACCGAAGAAGAACAUGUGAAGAAGAAAGGAAAACAAAAAAAAAAUGGGAAAACCCGUGACCAAGCGGCUAGCCACUUGCUCUCGGGUUUGAGCAGUGCCCAAGCGGCUAGCCGCUUGGGGCAGGCGAUUAGCCGCCUCAUGGCUGCCCCUCUGCAUAAAUUUUGCUCUCCGUCUAUUUUUGAUAAAUUCCAAGGCUAUUUUGUGAUCCCGAACACUUUCAAAAGCCAUUUUAAUGCAUGAAUCAAUAUAAUUAACAUCCAAAAAAUCAUAAAACUCAAAUUUAUAACAUAUUCAUCAUGCAUAUACAUCACAAUUAGGAGAUACGAUAACACUUUAUGGUUGGAAUUAUAAACAUUUAAGACAUGAUUAAUUCACACAUAUAAUUCAUCUAUCAUGCAUAUAUUUUACACACUCAUUAAACAUAUAUGCAUUCAAAGAUUAAUAAACAUAUCACUCAUUUAUCAUGCUUAGGCAUUACAUAAUCAUUAAAAUCAAACAAAUUCAUCAUGAUGAGUUGACAAGUUAUCAUCAUAUAUAUAUAAUCAUGCAUCAUGAUAAAGCACUCAAUGUUAAAUAUAAUGAUAAUUCAAUCAUGUAAACAUACAAGUAUACUUUCACAAAUUCAAGCUACUAUCCAUUUUUCAUGAUCCACUCAACAUGAUACCAAAUGAAUUAUUAAAUACUUACUAAGCUUAAAAGACCAUCACUUAUAAUCAAUAAGGCAAUAAUUGUUACCAAAACAAUUAAAUCAUAUUGUCUCAUCAUUUUUGCUUACACCAUGAUCAAGUGAUUAUUCUCAUAAGCUUUUAUCAAGGAACUCUCCACCAUUCCUUGAUUGUGGUGCCUACAAAAAAUAUUCAAGUUGUGUGCUUUGGUACCCAAAUAUUCUUGGGUCUUUGAGUGUUAGUAAUGAUUCCUUUUGGAACCCAAAUACAUGUUACUCUAUAAUAUGCAUUUCUUUUAACCGGACAUCUAAGCUUCAUGUGACCACUUUGAUUGCAAUAAUGGCAUACAAUUUGAUCAUUAAUAGAGGUAGUUUUAACAAAAUAACUCUUAUAAUAUUUUUGUUUCAAAUUUGGCUUAUAAUCAAUACCUCCAUUAUCAAACACACAUUUUUAUGAAUUAACCAAGUUAUCCAACAUCUUUUGCCCAUUUGUGAAUUUUAACAUAAUUUGAUUUAGUUCAUUGCUCUUCUUCUUAAGCACUUCAUUUUCUUUCAUUAAUUCAUCAACAUGUGAUUUCUCAUGCUCAUAUGAAGUACUUUGUUUGCAUUUAAAUGAUGUAAUUCUAUCAUACAACAUUUUAUUAUCUAACUCUAGUCCUUUAAUCUUUUCAUUUAAUGAAUCAUUGCAUUUUUGUAAAGCAUCCUUUUCAUUUUUCAAGUUAUCUACAUGUGAUUCUAGAUGAUCAUGUGAAGUGCUAGGUUUCUUAUUUAAUAAUACAACUCUAUUAUGCAAUGUUUUAUUAUCUAAUUCUAGGCAUGUAAUCUUUGCACUUAGAGAUUCAUUCUCAUUUGUGAGCUUUACCAUUUUCUUUUUAAGACAUGCAUUCUUUUUACCAAUUUUUAUCCAAUUAUCAUGCAAUUCUUUAAAAGUAUCAUAUAAUUUAUCAUAAGUAGAAAGAUCAUUUACCUCAUCAAGUUCAUCAUCCGAUUCAUCUCCAAUUGCUAUGAGAGCUAGAUUUGUCAUUUCUUGAUGCUCUUCAUCAUUACUUGUUUCCUCAUCUCUAUCAUCCCAUGUGGCUACCAUUGCUCUCUUCUUGAGCUUGUUGAAAAGAGGGCAUUCCCUUCUUAUAUGACCAGGCUUCUUACACUCAUAAUAUUUGAUUACUUCCUUCUUUUCCUUUCGGUUCUUGAGGUCUCUAAAUUUUCUUCGCUCACUGGAUUUCUUAAAAAGUUUUCUAAACGUCCUAGCCAGCAUAUCCAUCUACUCCUCAUCCAGCUCGCUUUCCUCAUCACUUUUAUGUUUCGAGGCUUUGAGAGCAAUGCUUUUCUUCUUCUCCUCAUUGCCUCUUUUGGCUGUCAAGUCUUCCUCAUAAGAAAUAAGAGAACCAAUUAAAUCAUAAAUAGGUAAAAUAUUUAAAUCUUUGGCUUCCUUAAUGGUAGUCCUUUUUGGUCUUCAUUCCUUAGGUAGCGACCUAAUGAUUUUCUUAACUUUCUCACUAUUUGAAAAGGUCUUUCUUAGGACUCUUAGAGUGUUCAAUAUGUCCGUAAAUCUAGUAUACAUAGAAUACAUACUAUCAUUUUGUUCCAUUUAAAACAAUUCAUAUUGUCGAGUGUACCUACUAAUUUUAAACUCUUUCACUUAAUUCGUACCUUCAUAAAUAACUUUAAGUUUGUGCCAAAUUUCAUUAGCACUUUCACAACUAGAUACUCUAUGAAACUCUUUCUUAUCUAGUGCACAAAACAAGGCAUUCAUAACUUUGGAAUUUAGAGAAGCUCUUCUCUUUUCCAAUUCAUUCCAUUCCCGUGAAGGUUUUGAAAUAUCUUCCCCGACUUCGUUUUUAGUCAAAGGCAUAAAUGGACCAUCACAAAUAAUUUUCCAAAUUUCAUAAUCUAAAGCUUGUAAAUAAAUUCUCAUCUUAGUUUUCCAAUAUAGGUAGUCAUUACCAUCAAAUAAUGGUGGUCUAAUUGUGGAUUGUCCUUCCCUAAAGGUUGAGUCAUUAUGGGUUGAUAUGGGUCUUUAACUCUAGACGGUUAAGUCUACACAAGAGCACCUUGCUCUGAUACCAAAUAAAAUGCAAGUUAUGCAACCCAAGAGGGGGGUGAAUUGAGAUUUUAAAAUUAUGCAAUACAAUUCGCACAACAAUUUGAUCUAUUGCCUUAAUCAAAUCAAAAAUAAUAAAUUCAAUCAAGCACAAUAUUAAAAUAGUAAAGGAAGAGAAAACAAACACAAGGAUUUUUACGUGAUUCGGCUAUCCCCGCCUAUGUCCACGCCUCCAAGCACACCCGGCUUGAGGAUUUCACUAUCCAAGCCUCCCAAGACUUCAAAUGUUUACAAUUGACUUCCAAGGUGUCAAUAGACCUUUACAACAAAAGAUUAUCUCCCCAAUCUCUUCACCCCAAGUGUUUCUCACACUUGUACACUCAUAAUUUGAUGAGAAAUGAAAAUCACAACAAUGAAACUCUCUUUAAGAGUAGAUAACAAAUUAUAGCUCAAUGAUGAUUCAGUAAAUGAUGAUUUGUGAAAUGGAAGCUCAAUAUAUGUUAUAUGAUCUUGUUUAUGCUUGCAUUAGUUCUUAGAAUGAAGUUUGAGUUGAGUUUUCAUAGUUAAAGCCCGAAAACUAGCCGUUAUAAGCAAAUUCUCGCGCCCAAGCGGUUAGCCGCUUGAUUGAUCAGGCUAACUGCUCAGGAACAGUGAUAUUACCGUUAUAUUUGAAAUUGCUACAGUAAUACUGUUCACUAAAAAUACACUUUGGCCUAAAACUUUUUAUAAUUAUACUACGGCCAAAAACGUCAUAAAAUUUUUACAAAUAUGUCCAAUUUCAUAAUUUUUUAAGAAUAAUUGUUUUUCCAAAACUUUUUGAAAUUAUAAUAUAGCCCCAAAGAUAUUAUUAUUUCACAAAAAUGUCUUUUUCAACAUAAUAUCCAUAUUUUUCAAAGUUCUCAAAAUCUUUCACUUUAGUCCAAAAUAUUCAUAAAUUAUAGUAUGGCCCAAAACAUUUCAAAUAUUUGUAAAAACGUCCAACUCUGAAAUUUAAUAAUAAUAAUACUUAUUAAAAUGAAAGAUUUCAAAACUUAGCAUUUAAGUCCAAAUUACUCAAAUCCACAAAAUACUUUACUUUAUAAAAAUAAAACCUUUUAGUUUAUGAAAAGUAUUUAAUUGAAUUAAUCUCUUGAGCUUCUCAAAUGUUAAAUCAUGCAUCAAUUAAAUCAUACCGGCUUUACAAGAAUUUAUCGCACUAAUUUAUUCGUUGAGCUCUAAACUAUAUUCUUGAUGUCGCCGUUGUCCGUUGAGUGUCUUCAAUCUUAAUUUCACUUGAUUCACUUGCAUAAAUAUUAUCCUUCAAAAACUAGUGAAAAUGUGAAAUACAAUAUUUAUUAUUUUUACUUAAGACACAUAUUUGUUAUCAUCAAAAUUACAUUAUGUGUAGCCAUUUAGGCUAACAGCUUUAAGUAGUUAGUUUAUGAUGCAACUAUUUGCCUAUGAUUUUAGGAAUUGUUUAUUAUUUGUUCUUGAGUCCAUGAUUUUAGGGUUGGUUUAUGAUGAAACUACUUGUCAAUGAUUUAUGAACUACGGUCAAAACAUAGUUCUAUACAUCGUAGAAAACGAAUCAUGUUUCUAAUUAAUUUAUAGUUGAUAAUAUAUUCAGACUUAAUGUAUAGACACAUACACGUACUAGGUUUAAGUGAUCAUUUUAAAAUUAUUUGAACUGGUUCCGUUUCUGGAAAACGUGAUUCAUUGCAUUAAGAUGCUUUGUGGUAACUUUAGAGAAGAAAAUAAACCUGAACAUGGUGUUCAAGGGUCUGGCUAUGGUGCAACUGUGAUAUCAUACCACGGUUGCUUUCAGCCAUUGGAUCCAGCUACAGUUGUCACCAUAAGUUGGAUCCAACGACUGAAAGCAACUGUGGUAUGGUACCACAGUUGCACCAUAGUUUUGUCCAAUGUUCAAUCCAUCUAUAUACAUUUGCAGUGGUUCCACAUGCUAACAAAAGUUCUUUAUCGAUAUACGUUUCCAAGGAAUUCACUUGAAAUGCUUCAUGAUAAUAAUUACCAAUUUAUGAUAAUAAUAAUAACAACAACAACAAAAAUAAUUUAAAUCCUCUACUAAUGCUUUUUAUUUUCUAAUAAAUUAAAGGUUAUUAAAGUAUGAACCAAAAUCUUGAUUCUAUAACAAAAGACAAUGUCAGAUAAGACACUGAGGCAGUGUUUACUUUCUGGAGUGGGAGUGUGGAGUGUGGAUUCCUCCCACUCCAGUGUUUACUUACCUUAAAAAAGGGGGGAGUGGGAGUGGGAAUCCGUGGGUCCCACCCAAUUUUGGAGUGGGGAGCGGGAUUCCCACUCCCAUGGAGGGAGGUGGGAGUGGGAAUCCACUCCCCCCUCUUCCCAUUUUAUCCUUAUAAAAAUAAAUAAAUAAAUAAUAUCAUAUUUAAUAAAAUAAAUAAUAUCAUAUUUAAUAAAAUAAAUAAUAUCAUAUUUAUUAAAAAUAAUAAUUAUAUCAUAUUUAUUAAAAAUAAUAAUUAUAUCAUAUUUAUUUUAUUAAAUUUAAUAAAAUAAAAAUAAAUAUUAUAUUUAAAUUAAUAAUAUUAAACAUUAAUUUUAAUAAAUAUUAAUUAUUUAUUUAAUUAAUAAUAAAUAUUUUAUUCUAAAAAAAUAUUAAUUUUGUACUAUAUUAUCAAUAAUAAUAUUUCAUUUGUGUUGCUAUUAUUAAUAAUUUUUAUUCACAUAAUUUAAAUUAAAAUUAAUAAAAAAUUAUGAUUUACAUAAUUAAGAAUAUUAAUAAUUAUUAUUAAUUUAUAAAUAUAAUAAAAUAUUUAUUUUAUUUUCCAAAUAUAUUUUUUAUUAAUUUUUUAAUUACAAAUUAUAAUUCUGUACAUAAGGAUAAAAUUGUAAUUUAAAAUAAUUUACUCCCAAUCUAAGAUAAAAUAAACAAAUAAUUAGGAUUCUGAUUGACAAUCCAUACUUUCAUUUAGUCUAAGUAAACACCCUACUCUCACUCCCACUCCACACUCCUAAUCCAAGGAUUCUCACUCCUCAGGAUUCCCACUCCAAUCCAAAAAGUAAACGCAGCAUGAGUGUCAGACGACUUGCAAGUUUGGGGUUGAACGACAUGUCAGUUUCUUGCUUUGAUCAUGCGUAUGACAUUUAUCUCACGUCAUAUGCACGCAGUAGGUAAGACGUACGUUGCAUGUGAUUCGAUUAAAACAUUAGAAGCUUGAAACGACAUAGACAGAUUAAGACGUGUGUUGCAUGUGAUUCGAUUAAAACAUUAGAAGCUUGAAAUGACAGAGACAGAAGCUGCUGUAUAUUUCUCACUUAAGUAACUCACGUGUUCAACACAUGAGGAAGACUGUUAAGAGCUGUUAAAAUGAGCGUGAAUUUUCUUUAAUUAAUCACGCCAGUUUAAAAAUUUGAUUUGAAUUUUUCUCCUCCCAUACCUUUAAAAAAAUCCAAGAUUAUCUAUUUGUGGGAAAAAUUUUAGAAUACAUCUUAUGUUCAAUAUCAUCAGAUGAUGUGAAACUAUUAAUUAAUAAUUAUUUAACAUGUGUUAAUAACUUUUAAACUUAAUAAUUAAUUUAUUAAAAGUCAAAUAGUUCCCUCUCUUUCUCUCCCUUUCCUCUUAUUUCAAAAAUUCCUCUUCCGUCUUCCAAAUUCCAAUAAUAGAAAACUAAAAAACAUUAAUUUAUUUAAAAUUAUAAAAUAAUAAACUGGAUAAAGUAUGUUUGCAAAUCUCUUUCCAAGAAACAUUAUUCUCUCUCUAGCCCUCAAUUUUUUUUUUUUUUUUGAUGGGAAAGUAAAGCUUUCGAUUAAAGAAACUUUGAAAGAGUCAACAAGAUUCUUGCUGGAAAAUCAUCCAGCCAUAGAACUGGGUGCUCAUAUUCUAAAGCAACUUUUGCUGUAGAAUGGGCAAUGGAAUUACACAAUCUUGGAAUAAACUGAAUUGAGGAUUGACUCUGGUUCUUCAGGCUUGAUUGUAUUUCUUUGAUUGUCCAGCUUAUUUCGGCCAAGCUUCUCUUCCUAUUCUUUGAUAGAUCCACCACUUCCAGCGAGUCAGAUUCAAUAAUGAAAGGCACACACUUUGCCUGAUGAGCAGCUUGAAUGCCAAAUAGAACAGCUUCAGCCUCCAUACAAGCUACGUUUCCUCUGAAACAAAUUCUCUAGACUGCUACGCUUACAAUUUUGCCACUUGAAUCUCUGAUCACAACUCCCAAACCAGCUUGCAAAUCUGACAUUUUAACAGCAGCAUCAACAUUUACCUUGAACCAAUUCUUUGGGGGAGGUUUCCAGUUCUUAUUCUCUGAUUGCCUAUGUGUGAGCAUGGCUGGGAUUUUUGGCUGCUUGAUCCUCCUAUAAGAUUCCACAAUGGCUGUUGCUCUUGCUGCUGUUAUUUGCGGGCUAUUUUGAUUACCUUCCAGAACUGAAAGAUUUCUCUCAUGCCAAAUUGCCCAGCAAACCGCAAUAAACUGUGCCAAGUCCUCCUUCCCCCUGCUUAAGGCUAGCUCUUGGAGCGCACUUAACAUGUCUUGGUGAGCCAUCUGUUUCACAUCAUCAUAAAAUGUUGUCAGCUUCCAAGUUUUGCGCGCAGCUUUGCAGUCCAUCAGUGCAUGGCAGGGGUCUUCACUUUUGCAAAAACAUCGUUGACAUAUGGGGGAUGGCACCACUUUUUUCUUCCAUAGGUUGUUGGCUGUUGGAAGCAAAUUUUUUGCAGCCCUCCACAUAAAGAUCUUAACCUUUUCUGGAAUUUCGGUUUACCAAAUGACUUUCCACUGAGAUUUAGAAGCAUCAGAGCAACCUGGAUUUUCUGGAAACUUAAGUUGGACUGCCAAUUGAUAGCCACUUUUAACCGUAUAGGUUCCGUGCUUAUCAAAUCUCCAAAUCAGAAUAUCUUCUUGAGGGGUUUUCGGGAGAGGGAGCUUUACAAUCCUUUCUGAGAUCUCCUUGGGAUAGAGCUGGGCAAUCUUAUCUUCUUUCCACUGGUUUAUGUCAUUAAUGAGAUCAGCCACCACAACAUCUUUGAGUGAGUUUGAGGGGGGUAUUGAAGUACAGCUGCCUACAUUCCUCAACCAAAUUUUGCUGCAGGCUGAGAUUUUGGUUCCCUGGCCUAUUCUCCAUCUCAAUCCCUCCUGAAGCAGCUCCCUGCCCCAUAUAAUGCUUCUCCACACAAAUGAAGGUUUUGAGCCGAGCUUAGCCUCCAUGAAACCACUGUGGCUGAAGUAUUUAGCUUUUAGGAUUUUGGCCAUUAAAGAAUAUGGAUUGUGCAGUAACCUCCAGCCCUGUUUUGCUAGAAGAGCAUGAUUAAAACUCGAAAAAUCCCUGAAGCCCAAUCCCCCUCUGAUCUUUGCGUGGCACAUCCUUUCCCACCUAGCCCAGUGUAUGCCUUUGUGUUUAUUAGAGGAGCCCCACCAGAACUUAGCUAUAGCUUUUUCAAUGUCAUUACAGAGACCUUGUGGAAUUCUGAACACGCUCAUUGCGUAAGCUGGCACGGCUUGUGCCACUGCUUUGAUGAGGACUUCCUUGCCCCCGCUGGAGAAGCAUUUGUGCUGCCAACUGGACAGCUUGCCUACCACUCUUAAUUUUAUGUCGUUGAAGAAGCUAAUUUUUUUCCUCCCCACCAUAGAAGGUAAACCCAGAUAUCUCUCAUGUUUUGACACAACAUUCAGCCCAAAGAUGCUUUUGAUCUCCUCCCUUUGAUUCUGACUUGUGCUUGAGCUGAAAAGCAUGGAAGAUUUAUCGUAGUUAAACUCCUGACCCGAGGCUGCUGCAUAGCAAUCGAAGAUCUUCUUCAAGUUUUUACAAUCAGUGGUUGAGGCCCUUGAGAAUACCAAACUGUCGUCAGCGAACAGGAGAUGGGAAACUGAAAUGUCUCUGCUGAAUUUCAACCCAUGGAUGAGGCUCUGGUUUUCUGCUUGCUUCAACAUGUUAGAGAAGACUUCUGCGCACAUAAUGAAAAGGUAAGGCGAAAGGGGGCAUCCUUGUCUCAAUCCUCUUUGGGGAAAGAUGAGACCUGUCGCCGCUCCGUUUAUUAGCACAGAGAACCUUACAGUAGAGAUACAUGACAUGAUCAAACUCACCCAUUUUUCUGAGAAACCUAGUUUAUGCAUUGUGCAUUUGACAAAAUCCCACUCCACCCUAUCAUAAGCUUUACUUAUGUCUAAUUUCAGAGCUACAAGCCCUUUCUUUUUACCCUUUCUUUGUCUAAUCUUGUUCAAAACACUCAUAUCCUAUGAUAACAUUAUCGGUAAUGAGCCUAUUGGGGACAAAAGCACUCUGGGUGGGUGAAAUGAUGUCAUUUAGCACCUGUUUAAGUCUAUUAGCCAAUGUUUUUGCAAUAAGUUUAUAGAUGACAUUGCAUAAGCUAAUGGGUCUAAAUUCAGACACUUUCUUAGGCUUAUUCACCUUUGGGAUUAGAGCAAUGUAAGUAUGAUUAAGAGGGGCUAGGUUACCUCCCUUAUUCAGGAUGUGCAGACAUGUUCUGAUUACUCCUUCUUUUACUGAGCUCCAAUGUUUUUGGAAGAAGGCUGCUGGGAAACCAUCCGGACCGGGGGCUUUCGUCGGACCCAUUUGAGCUAGAGCCUCCACUAAUUCCUCCUCUGUGAAAGGUUGGUCCAUAGAGUUUGUCAUCUCCACUGUGACCUUUGAGUUCAGCCCGGACACUGCUGCCUCAAUUUGGUUAGAUGAAGGGUUUGAUGAUGUGAACAUGUUCGUGAAGUGAACGCCAAUCAUCUGUUCAAUCUUUUCAGCAUCUUCUAUCCACUUUCCUGUUUCAUCUUCUAGGCCACUGAUUCUGUUUUUUCGCUUUCUUGCCGAAGCUUUUGAAUGAAAAAACUUCGUGUUUUUAUCCCCCUCUUUCAACCACUCUGCCCUCGAUCUUUGCCUCCAGAAAAUUUCCUCAUCUAAAAGGAUGUUAUCAAUCUGGUUUUCCAUGUUUUGUACCUCAUCUCCCCCGCUAGAUUGCCCGAGCCCCUUCUUUAUCUCUUCUAGCUUAUUCAUCAGUUGCUUCAGUUUCCUCCUCCUUCCUUCGAAUUCAUUUUGACUCCAGAUCUUCAGCUCUGCCAGGGACUCUUUUAAUUUCUUUUUUAGCUUUUCAGCUGGAUUGCCUUCCUCCCAACGGCACGAUUUCGACCACUCAUGCAUAAUAAUUUCUUUGCACUUCUCAUAUGAGCUCCACAUAUCUUCGUAGUGGACUCUAGGAAAAGUCCUUUUUGUGUAUCUUCUUUCUUCACCCUUCUCUAUUACCUCUAUCAGAAUUGGGUUGUGGUCCGAGCUCCAGGAGAUCAAAUUUUUUGUUGCCUUAUCUUGAAAACAGCUUCCCCAUCUACUAUUACAAAGGAAUCUAUCGAGCCUCUCCUCUAUAAAGUUAGAUCCGAAUCUCCAGUUAGACCAUGUAUAAGGAUACCCUGUGCUUCCCAAAUCCCUUAAGUCACUAUCCCUCAUUGCCUCCCGAAAAUCAUUCACCGAGUUCACUCUUUUAUCCCUCCCCCCUGAUUUUUCGAUUGGGUCCAACACCUCAUUGAAGUCACCAAAACACAACCAAGGCAAAGAAGAAAGAGCAACUAACCUUCUUAAUAACUCCCACGUAUGCUUUUUUUGUUCUGCUUCCGGGUGGCCGUACACUCCCGUACAUCUCCAGUAUCUGCCAUUCUUGCUGUAAAUAACUGCAUCCACAUGGUGCUUGCUGUAAGACUUUAUAUCCACGGUUACCUCAGAGCUCCACAAUAAGGCCAAACCACCUCCCAAACCUUCUCUACUAAUAGCAAAACAAUUCUGAAAAUUUAACUUAUUCGUUUUCUCUUGCAUUUGCUUCACCGUCAUCUUUGUUUCACUAAGAAAAAGGAUUUUCGGCUUAUGCUCUUGCAAGAGGUGCUGGGCUUCACGGAACGUUCGGUCUUUCCCCAGCCCCCGAACGUUCCAACUCAAGAGAUUCAUGGUUGUCGGCGGGGCUGUUUCACAGCCACCGCCGCUAACUCGUUUACAUGGUGAAGCUCCUCCCUGCCUUCUCCAUUCUCACUUUCGAAGUUCAGUUUUGAAGCUAUGUUUUUUGCUUUCCGAAGUUGAGGUGAGAGAUAUGGUUUUGUUGAGCUGAUAAUUUUGCACCUCUUUGUCUUUGGGCUUUCCCAUUCUAUAGCACUGCAGGGCCUUUUCAGUUUAAGGGGUCCCUCAUUUAUCUCCAUCUUAGCUUCCACAUUCCGUGCUUGGCUCUUCCACUUCUUUUGCUUUGGCUUUGUAUUCUCCAUUCUCGGCCCAUUGACUAUUUUUUCUACUUCUGAUUCAAUUUGGGUUGAAUUCUGGCAAGGUAUUUGUUGCUGGCCCAUAUUCAUUAUAAAUCCCUUUUGGUCUUUUUCUCCCCGCUUUAAAUCUCCCGCGUUUUGUGAACCCGGAGGCUUUGGUUUUUCCAAUUUUUUCCCUUCUGUGUUUGUUUCCCUCUCUUUUCCUUUCCCGCCCUUAAUUCCUGCCCCUGUGACCACAUCCCGAUGAACUGUACCGUCAAUCUCUGCUUUGUUUUGUUCUUUACGUUUUGCCUCUAGCUCGCUGCAGCCUGUCACCCCUUGCAUUAAAUGCGGCCCAACCACCCUCUGACUCUGGUCCGUUGCUUCCCUCGAGUUAUCCAAACCCGGAUCCAACAAGUGUCGGUUGGACCCUUCAUCACAGUCCGGAUCAUCUGUUUUGUUUUUCUCCCUCUCCUCUACACCACUGUUGUUUCUGUUUCUUGGAGGGGUUGGGGAAUUUGUGUGAGGUUUAUUAUGAGCUGAAUCCCAUCGGUCUUUCCCUCUGCUUUGUUUUAACCGCUCCGUGAUGGUUGAUGCUUUUAGCCAAGGACCAUAGGCUAGUUCAUCCUUGGAUUGGGAUUUGUAGUGGGCACACUCCCUAUACUGGUGUCCUAUUCUUCCACAGCAAAAACAGAAAUCUGGCAAUCGUUCGUACAUUACUUGCAUGGGGAUGUCUUCUUCCGCUUGCCCCUCUUGUUCUAGCUCUAAAAUUUUCUUCAACGGUCUUGUUAUGUCCACUGAAAUUCUCAAUCUCAAAAAUUGUCCGAAACAUUCACCUGCUGCAUCUGUCUCAACUUCUUCAACCUUUCCAAUCGCCUCACCCAAGGCUGGUUUCAUUUCUUUGGUCAUACACAUAAUGGGGACAUCAUGAAUUUGAACCCAGAAUGAGGUGUGGCUGAAAUCUUGCUUUUUUACAUCCCCUAUUCCGACUGGUUCAAUGAGCACGAUGAGAGCUCUAUCAAAGUGCCAUGGACCCCCUACUAGAAUGCUCCUUUUGUCUGCCUCCGAGCCGAAUUUAAAGAUGAAUAUGUUAUCACCAAGGCUUUCUAUCUUGACUUCCCUGGUAGUUUUCCACACUCUUUGCAUGGCCAUCUUUAACCCCUCGAUACUAACUCCCCUUGUAUUGAUCACUUUUCCUAUCAAGCAGCCCGCAACAAUCUUUUCCCCCUUAUCUUUCAUUUUGCUCUUGAAUGAAACUCUUCCCCCUUCCUCAUCACUUAGCUUUAUGGCUCUGCAUCUCCUUAUUAACUCUUCUGACUCCAUCUCGGAAACUCGAGCUCUCAAUAACUCAGGAUUGUUUGAUAGCCUAGUUUUAACUAUUCUGCCAUUAAAGCUCUGGCAGAGAAUAUUGGUGAGAAGAAUACAGUGAAUAACAGGAACCUUUAAAAAAAGGAAUCAAACACCCACUUUGGGGCGACUUUCAGAGUCACGACGGCUCUACUGUAUUCUCCCAUCUUUCUAAGUUCCAGAGAAAACUUCGAAAGAGAGAACUCACCACCAAAAAAAUUUUGAUUUUAGGCUUUCAUUGGUCUUAAGUAAAGCCCUCAAUUCACUUAUGCAUUUUUACACACGAGGAGGAAGCAAUGUCAAAUGCAAUCCAAAUAGUGAUUUCAGAGACACAUCAUCGAUUGUGUACUUGGCAUAUUGCUAAAAAUGCCACACAACAACUUGUUACUUAUUAUGCAAAGACUUGAGUUCAAGCAAUACUACAAUGAGUGCUUUUAUGGGUGUAGUAAUACAAUAGAAUUUGAAGCUUCUUGGGUUGAGAUGAUUAAAAAAUUCAAAUUGAGAAGAUCACUCAUGGCUCAAAAACUUGUAUUUUCCUAAAGAGAAGUGAUGUCUGGCUUUUAGUUUGGAUAUAUUUUCUACAAAUAUGAAGUCAACCCAGAGAAGUGAGAGUACAAAUAAUAUUUUUCAUCAAAUUCCAGCAAAAACAAUAGAACUCAUUAUAGUUGUUCAGCAUUAUGACAAUGAAGCAAACGAGAUGCGGUUAGAGGAGUUGCAAGAUGACAACAAAUUGAGGGCUGGAGCGAGAUUUGCAAAGGCACUUUAUUCAAUUCAUUAUUUUUAUAAUUUCUAAUAAAUUAAUGUUUCUUUAUUUUCUAUUCUUAGAAUUUGGAAGAGGAAAGAUGAAAUUUUAAAAUCAAAGAAAGGAGAAAGAAGGAGGGAAAUUAUUUAACUUUUAAUAAGUUAAUUUUUAGGUUUAAAGUUAUUGACACAUUAAAAAUUAUUAAUUAAUGGUCCCACGUUAUCUAAUGACAUGAAGCAUCGGAUGUAUUCUAAAAUUUAUCCUAUUGUAUAUAACUAGUCAGCUGCCAAUUAUAUCAUUAGUCCAAGCUUUUUCACAAAUAUUGGGUCCUACACCAAUCAGUAACACAAUUGAAUUAGGGAAAAUAGUCCAACUUAAAAACCAAAAAGCAAGCGUGGAUGAAAAAGAGAGCUAAAUUGAAUUAGGGAAACAAUUGAAAGUUGCAACUUAGAAAAAGCAAGCGGGUAUGAAAAAUAAAGCGUAGUCUGUUGACAAUGGAAGGUACGUACACAUGUAUAUUAAUUUAGAGUAACCAUAGACAUCUUAAUUUUUUUUUAUCUCAAAUGUGAUCCCAAAUGAUAUGUCAUUCAUUAAAUGGUUGGUAAUUUUUUAUAAGAUUCAAAUUGAAUUGGUUGUAUUAUCUCACCAACUAAUUGAUGAUUGUCGUAUCAUUUACGAUAACUUUUUAGGACAAAAAUUUAAAAUGUAUAACACUACUCAUUAAUUUAACUAGUCUUUUUUAAGAAAAUCCAUUAUAAAUUAAAGAUAGAAAAUGAAUCAAUAAGUCGAAAUCAAGACGGAGAUGAUUUCAUUUAUCUAGCAAGUGAGACAUAAAAGAGCUUUUUUUUCAAUUUAUUUAGUGACGAAUUUGUGAUACCUUUGUCCCCCCCCACCCCCCNNNNNNNNNNNNNNNNNNNNNNNNNNNNNNNNNNNNNNNNNNNNNNNNNNNNNNNNNNNNNNNNNNNNNNNNNNNNNNNNNNNNNNNNNNNNNNNNNNNNUUAUAGAAAGAUUUUCAGAGUGUGGAGGGCCACAGGAUAUUUAUAAAUAUAUACAAACAUGUAUAUAUGCACACACACACACAUACAUACAUAUAUAUAUAUAUAUAUAUAUAUAUAUAUAUAUAUAUAUAUAUAUAUAUAUAUAUAUAUAUAUAUAUAUAUAUAGUAUUCUUUUAAUAAUAAGGUUCUUAUUUUAAAAAAAUGAAGAUCAAACUAAAAGAUAGGAAAAUAUAAAAUUUCAAUUUACUAUAGAACCAAAAAAAAGUCUUUUCAUAUUUUAAAAUUUAUGUUGUUUCUAUUUUUUAAAAUUUUGUCCUUAUUUUAAAAAAUAUUAAGAAAGUGUUGUCAGCUAUAAAGAGUUAAUUCCCAUUUUAUAAGAAAGUGCAAAGUUCACACCUUAUAUAUAUUUAUAUGUUUUCAAUUAAUUAAUCAUACUAAAUAAAAUUAAUUACACUUUGUUUCAAUUUUCUAUUUUCUUUUUAUUUAUUUUUAAAAUAAAAUUAAUUAUCAUCCUAAAAGUCAACUAAAAUAUAUUAAUUCAUAUCAUCAAAUCUUGACACUUUAUUAUUCUUUAAUCCAAGGGCUUAAGAUUGUGUUUAAUAGUUGUCUCUUGAGCUUGCUUGCUUGCAUGCAUGCAUACAUACAUACAUACAUACAUACAUAUAGAAUCUUGUUAAAUUAAUAUUUUUAAAUUGAUAACCUCUAUUAAAUAAUAGCUUUUUGGGUCCCGACUUGAGGCCAACAUAAUAAAUUAAUAAUUCGAUAAAUUUAUUAGAUAAUAAAUUCUCAAAAAAUCUUAUUCUUCUCUAGGACCCAGUUAAUAUAUAAAUUAAUAAUUAACUAAUUUGAGACUAAAUACAUAUAAUAUGUCUAUGAUUUAGUUGUUGUAUUGGUAUAAUGCUUUACGCAUGUCAUUGGUCAUUAUUGCUUUCUUUACACCUUUCAGACGAGAAGUUUCUAUUUGAUUGUAUGUGCUAUAUUAAGAGAAAUAAGAAAGAUUGACUUAAUAUAUUGUCUUCAAAAAGUUUUCUCUAAUGAGUUCCUAAAUAGCAUGAUCCAACCAUUCAAUCCAAAUUCCAACCAAAUUAAGGAUUAUCAAGUGACUGAUUCACUCAACAAGAUCAAAUUAAAAUUAUAUCGUACAACUUGACAGAAUCACUAAAUCAUCUACUUAUACUAAUUCUAUACUUUACGAAAGUUCAUAUUACAUAUAUGAUAUUAUCUUUAUAAAUUAAUAAAUUAUUAAUUUAUCAUUAAAUUAAUAGUUAUUAAUUUAUCAAUAUAUUAAUAUUCACUAAAUUAAUAGAUUUUUCAUGAUCCCAAAACUAUUGAAUUAUUGAGAUUCUACUGCAUUUUAUCUUAGAACAUAAAAUAUAUAUUUAUUAUAAAAAAUAUAUUUAAAAAUAACAAAAAGUACAAGAAAAAUAUGUUAUUAUUAAUUUUUUAUUCAUACCGAAACUUAUAUUUUUUUUAGGAUUUUAAUUUUUAUAUAAAUUUUAAUUUAUAUGAUUUAUUUAAUUUAUAAAAAAUAUGAAUAAAAAUAUAUUUAAAAAUACGAAUAAUAUUGUAAAAUUAUGGUGUUAGGGAGAUUAUUGGGUAUUAUAAAAAUAAUAAAAAGACAAAUGAUUUGUAUUAAUGUCAAUAGGAGAAAUUGACAAAUGUGACAAUCUUCUCUCUCUCUCUAUGUAGCUUUUCCUUCGUACAACGUGAUGAGAAAUACUAAUAUAUCUAUGGUGCGUCAAAAUUUAAUUUAUUAAUUUAUUUCCUCUAUCUAGUUUCUAGAUUUAAGACUCUGAAAGUUCACACGUUACACGCUCAUAUGGGUACGUAUCAUUCCAUUUAUCUGUGGAAUUAAAUACUAUUUAUCAAAGCAUGAUUCUAGCAUGGAUAUCCACGAUAACAUAAUUAAUAAGAAUAGGUCAUAAAAGAUCGUGCUUUAUUAUCAAAAUAAAUAAAUAAAUAAAAAGUUCUAGAUUAGGUUAAUCAUUUCUUUCCAUUAAAAACUAUGUUUUACAUACGUACUUGCUAGCUUUUGCAUGCCACUGAAUGUUUUCUUUCAAAGGAGUGAACAUGGAAAUUCUAGAUCUGUUGAUUGUGGCAUUGAUGGCAGUUCUGAAAGUACUCUUGGUGGCGGGGGUUGGCUUGUUUCUUUCGACAGAUCACAUAAAAUUAUUGGGGCCUAAUACAACGCGUGAUUUAAACAAGGAAAAUUAUCAGUCAUACACCCUUAAAUGAUACUAGUAUCAAACGUGUUACAACAUUUUUCAAAUGUAUCAUUCGUAUACUCUAAAUUGACAAAACACUUCUGUUGUCCAUCAAUCCGUUAACUGCUAUUUGCGAGCGCCGAUAUCAUAAGGGUAAUCUAGUCUUUUUAAAAAAACGACAUGUCAUCCCAUUUACCUAGUAAAAAAAUGAUAUGUCAUAUGAUAUAUUUUGAUAAAACUGACUUGUCAUCCCAUUUAUCGGAUAAUUGUUAAUAAUUGUUAAAAAAAAAAGCUACUUUACAACUGAAUCUAUUCCUCUAGAAUUUAACCUAAAUUAUUGAAGAUCUACUCCUCCAAGCUCCAACUUGAAUUUUUUAUAGUAUAAUAUGUAUAACUGUAAAUAAUAUAUUGUUAAUAUUUUUUAUGAUAUAAGAUAGAUAUUUUUUAUAGAUAAUUGUUAAUAAUAUGUACCAUUAAUAAUUUAUAUUUUUUUAAUAAAAAAAUGUAUUGUUAAUAACAAAAUAAAAAAAAAAUUGUGUAUUGAAAAUUUAUAUUAAUUUUCAAGGUAAAUUUGUCUUUUUACCUCAUUUUGAGUUUAAAUGGUAAAAUAGUCAUUUUGUUCAAAUUCUGUUAAGUUCUUAACGGUAGUAAAUGAAAAGGUGGACGCCAGAACUCUUUUGUCAACUUAGGGUAUACGAAUGAUAUAAGCGAAAAGUGUUGUAGCACAUUUGAUACUGGUGUCAUUUAAAAGUAUAUGGCUGAUAAUUUCCCUUUAAACAAUGUAAGUAAACAAUUUUUCAAUCUCUCAGGCACCAAUUUUCAAUGUUACCAUUUAAACAAUGUUAAUCAUGAAUAAUCACGAUCAAGUCAAAUUAAUAGAGUACUGAAAGCUGUUUAAUUGUCUUGGCUUCUUUAUAAGCUUGGAUUCUUUGUGUUCAAUCCAGCAUAUAUGUUGAGCAGCCUGUCUGAAACUGUUACAGUCAAAAGUUUGGUUACCUUGUGAGUUAUUUUUCUAUUUAGUUUCUCUGUAUCUACUUGCACUAUACUUCCUGUGACGUUCAUUUUGUAUCCAAAAAGGGAAAAUCAGUUAUGUAUGAAUAUUCAUGUAGCCACCAAGAAUUAGUAUAAAAAGAAAUUUUUAAACAUAAAACAAAAAAAAUUUACGAAGUAAUAUCAUAAAUUUGUCGGCCUUCUGUCAAAAAAGGGUAAUAGAUAAAUAUAAAGGUAACAUAAAAUAUCACACUCUGAAAUUUUAAUUCUCUUGUGGGUACCUUAAUUUCUAAUUAUCAAACACUUUACUAUUCUUUUAGACAGCAAGAUCAAAUGGAGCCUUUAUGUAUAGUUAGUUUUCUUGUCCUAUAUUUUGCAAACACAUGCGUUCUUAGGUGGUUCAUCCCGGUGAAUAUUUUAGUCUCACUAAUAAUUGGUUCUUCACUUGAAUUGAUUCUUAUUAAGCUCACACGAACCCCUCCACAUUUCUAUAGCCUUGUCGUUAGUUGCUGUUCUUCUGGUACAUUAUUCUUGACUUUGAUUUUUUUUUUUUUUCAUUUUACAUUUUUAAUUAUCAUUAAUCUGAGGAAGGGCCCUAAUAUUUGAGUUAAUUGUCUGUUCACAGGGAAUUAUUUAUUUCUUCUCGUAAUUGCUCCAGCGGUAUGUGAAAUGUCAAACAGUCCAUUUGGAGAUUCAUCUGCUUGCUCCUCAGACGGAGAAACUUGUGCUUUACUUUCUAUGGCGCUAUGAUAGUCUGAUUAGUACUUUAAUUAAAUAAAACAGCAUUCCUAAAUUUCCAAAUUUUGUCUCAACAAAAAUCUUAUUUCAAACUCUAGUGUCAGUCCGAUUCGAGCCUCCAACCUUGGGAACCGCUUAGUUGCAUGGUAAACCACCUCAUUUUUCACUCGUGCAUGCGGAUAUAGGAUGUGUAGGGGUUGAAGUCGUAAUAGCCUACCUAGUUAGUGGGUGAAUUUGUAGACAAUUUUAUAAGAUAUGGGUUCCUCCCCUUUUGGGUUAUAAAAUCCAAUAACAAAAAGAGUUGUAUACAAUUUGCAUUAGUUUUUUUAAAAAAAAAAAACAAAAAAACAAAUUCAAAUUUUCCUUUAGACCUUAAGGCUUGGGCAAUUAAGAGUUAGCAUUUUUUUUAUAAUUACCAAAGAUGUCUUUAUCACUACUUCAUGGUUGCUGGUUUAACUUGUCAAAGGUAAGAUAAUGUUUUUGCAUGAUACAACUUGUUAUUCAAACAAGUUUUCCUUAAUCUUUGGGGUUUGGGCCAGGGCGAAGCCCGGAAUCAUUUCUAGGCUAGGCUAGUAUAAUUUCUUUUUAAGUAAAAAGGAAAAAGAAUCUUCAAGUAAAGUCAUUAAAUCAAAACAAUAACUCAAAUUAACAAUUUUUUGGGUUUGAGAAAUAUCUUGUUUAUUAAGUUCAUUUAACCAAAAAAAUUAUCAAUUUAUGACUACGGUAUCAUACGGGUACCAUACCCCACAGCGUAGCACUAUUAGAUGGUGGAGAAAAGCCACCCACACCUCCUAAGAUUUGCUUAAAUGCCCCCUUUAUUUUUAUAAAUGGUCACACGUAUGAACCUCUUUUUGACUAUUAGAGCAUUAAUUACAAGAACCCAAUAAUUGAGUUUAAAUAAACUUCUAUAAUAAAAAUAAAUAUAAAUUAAAAUAAUAUAAUACAUAAAAUAAGAUAAAUUUUAUAAAUUAUUUUAAAUAUCAAAAAUGUUAUUUUAACGCUAUUAAUAUGUCAUAUUCUUUUAAUAAUAAUCAAACUAUUUGAAAUAUUAAUAAUAUUAUAAUAAUUAUACCUAACGUUUACAAUAAUUUAUAAAAUUCAUAUUCUUUUAUUUACAACAUCUUUUUUAUUUAUGUCUAUAUUAGUAUAAAUCUUAAAAUCAAAUUUUGGAUUAAUAAAAUCCAUCGGGAUAGACUAAUAAUAACUUAAUAUUAAAAUAAUUUUCAUUAUAUACAUUAUUUUAUUAGUUAUAGUUAUUGUAAUAUUUUAUUUGUGCCAUAUGAUAUUUAUUUAUUAUUUAUGUCUUAUUCCUAUGUUUAUAUUUAUUUGGUUAUAAUUAAAAUAUAAUAGUCAUUUAUGAAAUUAACGGCCUAUAUGACUAUUUAUGAAGUUAAGGGGUCUGUGUGACCAUUUAAGUAAACCUUAAGGGGUGUGGGUGGCUUUCUUCCUUAGAUGGUUCUAGUUAAUGAAUGUUAAUAAAUUUUAAUUAUUUGAUGGUACUCAAUCUAUGAAGUACAGUACUAUUAAGAAAUCAUAGAUAGACCUUAACUUUGAAGAAUUAAUUAAAAGCCAAAUGAGUGAUAAAUAUCUUGUCAUCAAAGUUUACUUGAGGCAAAACUAUAUUGCUUCUAAAACAAGAUAUAGUAGGGAGAAGUACUGGGGAAAAUGAUAGUGGCCAAAUUCUAAAACAAAUUGAAUGAUAUAAACUUGUAAAUAUUACUCUUGACAAAUUUAUAAAGUGUGAGAGUGAUAGCAAGUUUUGUAAAUACUGCAUAAUAAUUUAAUUUGUGAGCAACGUUAGUAUGAAAGUAAAAAAACUAAAAAAAAUUUACUGAAUUUUGGCUAGGCUAUAGCCCAACUUUGUCCAUUAAUAGCUUCGCUGUUGGUUUGGGUUACCAGUUAGCUUUCCAUAGUUGUUGGAUUUAAUUUAUCAAAGACAAUUAUAACUAAAAUUCAAAUAAAUUUGAUCAGUAACAUAAGAAUAGUUGAGAAUAUUUAAGUUGAUUUUAAUGCAAACAAAUAUGCAAUAUCAAUGUUUUAGGUAUUUUCAAAAAAAUACAAGGACAAAUUUAUUAGCUGACUCGAACUCGGGCCAACGACAAAGGGAACAUUUACCCAUUUUCUUUCAAACUUUCAGUUCUAAACCUAGAUACCCAAGCUAGACCAUCAUGUAUAGAGCUCAUAUAAAAGAUUCUGUUAGAUUUUUUUAAUUGUAAUUAUCAAUAUUUUUACUAUUAUUUUAAAAUGUGUUAGGCUAUUAAAAUUUUUGACUUAAAUUUUUGAUACAAAUGUUGAGUCAUUGAUUUCAAGAAAUAUGGCGGUGGAUGAAUAAUUAUCAUUAAAUGCUACUUUAACUUUCAAUAUCCACUAUUAGAUUACUUGAAAUCAAUAGUCCAAGAUUUUUGUCAAAAUUUUAAGUUAAAAAUUUAAAUUAGAACAGUCCCACUAUUUAAGAAUAAUCACAAACCCAUAUUAUACCCUUAAAGAUGUUCUGACAUAUAUAUGCUCCAGAAUUUUCAAUGUAAUAAUAUUAAUAUGUGCCUAUCAAUAAUUAAUUAUAUCAAUUUGUGGUACUCAGACAGAGUCUAGUUAAUUGAAUUUCAUGGUUUGGUGUUACAGACUGGGGGAAUUUAUGUUUGGACAUACGUGUGUGCCAUCAUGGCAAGAUUUGCAAAUGGUAUCAUUAAGACGAACAGAUGGUGAUUCCACAAUCAGCAUAUCAUCUUCUGCAGAAACUUCAUCACGAAUACGCUCCGACCGAACCACUUGUACCCGAUUCGAAGGAUUGCUCUAACUCUAUUGAAAUGCGUCGCACUGGAUCUUUGGUAAGAUAUAAUGUAAUAUUAAAGCUAAAAAUAGUUACAUUAAAUGCACAGAUUGUUUGAAAAUUUAAUUAAUCAUUAAAAUAGAGUAAUAAUUUAGUGGGAGAUAGUGCUCACAUUAUGGCGAGCGACAUUAUCCGUUGCACGUCUAGUUAAUUGCAGUUUUAUUUACAGGGAGUCACAUAUUUGUGCUACUUGUUGAGCUGGUGCUCAUUGCUUCAUAUUUUCUAUACACACACAACCACAAAAACAAUUACUGGGUUUAAAUGAAUAUCUAAUUUUAUUAUUUGGGCAGGUUCUAUUUCCGGGAAGGGUAAAUUCACUACAUUAAGAUGUUUUUAGCAGAGAUAAACCUGAAGAUGGUGUUCAAUCCAACCACUAUUGCCGCGGUAUACAAAAGUUCAUUAUCAAUAUAUGUUUUCAAAGUAUUCACAUGAAAUGUUUUAUGAUCGUAAAUAACAACUUAUUAAAAUGCAAUAAUAAUACUAUAAUUUUUUAGAUCUAGUAUUAAUGGUUUUUAUUUUCUUUGAAUAAAAAGGUUGUUGGGUUGAUCAUUAGGAUAGUCCCUCCUAUCCGAAAGGCAAUGAUUGGUGAUAAUGCUCUUCUUCGCUUGAUUGAUAAUUCUGCAUCUUUGCUUGGGUAUGAUCACCCUCAAUUACUACGACUCUGAUAAUUAAUUUUCCUCCACAGCUUUUCAUGAUUUUGUCACUUAUCCUUUCACAGACUAUAGUUUUUCAUAAUACCCGACCCUGUCACUUAUUGAUGUCAAAACUUCAACCCAAGUAUGUAUGUAUGUAUGUAUGUAUGUAUAGUUGUCUUACGGUCGCUGGAAUGAGAUUUCGUGUCGUCAGAAACCUAACAAGAGUAUUAUAAAAACUGUAAGGAGAAAGUGUUAACCUUCCUUAACAUUUCCCUUUUGUAAAUGAAAUCUGAUUAUAUAUGACAGAGAAGCAGCAAUUCCGUCAAUUAUUCUGUUACUUGGGGCAAAUCUUCGACGAGGUAAAUUUAAUAUAUAUUUUUCAUUACAUUGCCUUCUGAAAAAAGUCAAUGUACACUUAUUUGUAGAUUCUUGUGAUUCGUUUUGUGGCUGAAGGUUUAAAAGGAUCAGGAGUAAGUCCAUUACUUGUGGUACGGAUUCUGGCAGUGCGGUAUAUAUUGUUGAAAUGGGCACAUGCAUGUGUCAUCCAAAUUUCAAGAAAGCAUGUAAAUUUUCAAAAGGCUACCAAAUAAAUGAAAACAAAAAUGAAAAAGUUGGUAAAUUUGUCAAAUUUGUCAAAUUGGCACCAUUGACAAUUUGUUUGGGUUAGGUGGAAUAGUGCAAACUUCAAGCCUAUAAAUUGAAAUUUCUUCUUCAUUCCAUAACAUCUCAAAAAUUUGAGAGUUUAAAAGAAAUUGCAAGUGAAGCAAUUCUAGAGUUCUGAGAGUGUGAACAAUUAGAAAUAGUGUGUGUGUGUGUGUGCUUUUGGAUGUAUUUAGGUUUUAGAAAGUGAGGUUUUUAUUACUCAAAUAUUGAACUCCAAUAAUUGUUAAUUAUACAAUUAUUUUCUCUUGCUCCCAUGAAUGUAGGAAUAAUUGUCAAACCACGUAAUUCUUGAGUCCUUUAUUUUUCUGUGAUUAUUUGGUGCGUUUGAUUCCGCAUUCCGCGCACAACAAGUGAUAUCAGAGCUUUGACUUCAUCUUUUAUAUCUUCAUCAAGAUUUUUCAAAUCAGCAAGUAACUUCUCAAAUCUUAAGACAUCAUGCAUUAACACCCCAUGUUUCAUUCAAAAGCCAUAUACCUGGCUAAUUGCAUGAAGGCGAUUUUCAGAACUUUUCAGCAGGUACUUUUCCUCCAAUGUACGCCAUAAAGUCAUUGCACACUCUUUAUCUUUCACCAAGUAUUUCACCUCCUUAGUCAAACAGGAUCUGAUUUGACCAGAGGCUUUCUCAUUCAUACGAUCCCAAGUUUCUUCAUCACAAUCUUUAAUUUUUCAGAAUAACAUCGAGAUCGAUUUGAAUAAGGGCAUCCAUAACUUCGCACCUCCACAUGCCAAAGUUGAUUUUCCCAUCAAACUUUUUAACAUCGAUCUUUUGGCCUCCUAUAAUAGGUGUUGAAUAGCAAUUUGACAAAUCUCGCCUUCCAUCUGAAGUGUCUCAUGAAAUAGUCUCGAUAAAUGCCUCCCUAAUUCUGAAAGUUGUACCUUCUAUCAUUUUCUCAACAAAUUAUUUCCACUUGAAAAACAGCCUCUAUGAUGUUAAUUUCGCGUGAAUAAAUGCACCAAGAAAGUUUCUAGGAGAAUAGAGGGGUCACAAUAGUCUCACUUAAAACUCAAACUCCUUAAACUCUUAUCAUCUUGUUGACAAAACUUUCCUAAACAUGCAUAAUUACACACUACUUAUAAUAAAUUGUCUCCCAAGUACAAAUGAUCAUCUUCACCGUAUUCAUGAACAGCAUUGUACAUGAAUAGUAUCGUAUAUAUGAACAGUACCAUAUCUCCACAAAUACGAACCGUCGGCUCUGAAUCCUUAUUGAAGGAUUUCAUUAAGAAUGAUGGUUCAUUGGUAGUCGGCUCAGAUUUGGACAAAUUUUCGUCAAGGUGGAAAAUUGUUGAAAAGCAUUGGGCACAUGCACGUGGCAUCCAAAUUUCAAGAAAGCAUGCAAAUUUUCAGAAGGCUACCAAACAAAUGAAGAAAAAAUGAAAAGUUGGCAAAUUUGUCAAAUUUGCCAAAUGGGCACCAUUUUCAGAAGGAUACCAAACAAUAAUGCAAAAAUGAAGUUAAAAAUUUUAAGACAUCCACGCCCGUUAAUCAAGAGCCCCAUAUUGGCAUGCGCUGACUUAAUUUAUUUUAUAACAGAUACAAUCUCCCAGUUGUUAGAGAUUGGUGUGAGUGAAUCCUCUUACAUUCUACUGUGGACUUAUGUUGUGGCUUCAAUCUCUGUUACUCUCUGGACAGCAUUUUACAUGUGGCUUUUGACAUAGAUAGCUUGUUGUAAUACUAAUACCACCCUGAUACCAUUUUACAUAUUUAUUUUAGAUGUACAUUUUGCAGUGGAUGAUUCGUAGUUUUGAUGAUAAUACUUGCGUGAGGUUGUUGUCGUAUUGUUACAAAGCCCUUCCAGAUGAUAGAAAGGUAUUUGUCAUGAAUUCAGCUUUCCUAGAAGUGCCUGUUAAUUCCAUUCCUAUUACAAUUCCUUUAUUUGAAUUGUGCAUGAAAUUAUAAAGAAAAUAAAUUCAAUUAUGUUUUCCUAUGCUAGAAUCGGGGCUGGCCAAGCUUUUUUAAAUAUUACUAUAACAUCAUUUUAAUCAAAAUUUAAAAUCGAAAAUUUUAUAAAAUUUUAUCGGAAAUGAAAAAAACAAAGGAUGAUAUUUGGCUAUAAUGGAUAAAUUAUUUAUAAAAAAAAAAAUCCGCAUUUAAAUUGUUACCUUUGGAUAAAAUUUGGGCAGUGGCAGAACCAAAAUUUUGCUUGACCCAAAGAGUUAUAUACUAGGCUAAAACAUAAAUCUAUAAAAUUGAAGAGGCCAAUAGUGAAGGCUUUAUUGAAUAAACUAUAGAAUCUAUAGGCUAUAACAAAAUUAUAAAAUUAUGAAGGGACCUUGUUUGAAAUUCACAUAGAAUAGGUAAAUUUUCUGUUCAAUUUUUUUUUUUUUCAAUCAUGGGGUUGGCAUGUUUGGGAGAAAAGUUUUUGUGUUUUAACAACAUUUUUUUCAAUCCAUCCCUUGUCUGAUGUGUAUGUUUUAACUAAUCGUGAUAAUAUCCAUAUAGAUGUGACAAAUAGUAGAUGGAUAAGUAGGAAUACGCAUAAAACAUCAAAGACUUUCUCUAAUUUAGAAUAUCUAUCAUUAUUCUUAUAACAUAUUUACUAAUUGGAAAUAGGAUUGGAAAUGAUGAAAUGUAAUUCAUUAAUUUGUUUAUUAACAAAAAUGACAAGCAGGGAUUGGGAAUCAAAUUGGUUGUUCCUCACCAAUUUGGGAAUAAUUCCCUCGGUUCUAAUUCUUAAGAUAUUGACGAAAUUACUUCUACUCAAAUUUAAAAAUUUACAGUUUGUCUCACUUAAAAUAUUAAAAAAAUUAAAAAAAAUCUAAAUUCAUUGUUACAACUGCUCUCACCAUCGCUGGUUGUUUUUUUUGUCUCUGGUUGCUACUUAUGGCUUGCUGCCAACCAUCGUUGCUGUUGCCACUCGCUGCAACUGUUGCAGCCACUCGCCCCUUGUUGCAUGUCAUCGCUGCCGGCUUUGCCGGCUUGAUUUCGAUUGCCACUUUGUUGUUAUUACUUAUUUAUUUAUUUAUUAUUAUUACUACUACUACUAUUAUUGUUAUUUUUUUCUCAUUAUUGUAUCACAACAUGCAUUUUUUAUUAUUAAUUGGUUGUUACCACUAUUAUUGUUGCUAUCAUCAACAAUAAUUUUUUAAAUAAUAACAUCAUAAAUAGCACUACAAAUAAUGAUAAUUAUUAUAAUAAAUUAAAGAUGUUUUAAUAACUUGUAAUUCAUUUAUUCCUGUUCCAAGAAAAAAUGAAUAUUUCCAAUAGUAAUAUAAUUUUUUUUUCGAUUUCAAUUUGUGUUCUUACUAAACAAAUAAUUCUGGUUCUUAUUUUUCAUUCAAAUUCUAACUCAUCUUUAUUUUAGUCCAUUUUAAUUAUUAAUUUAUAAAUGCACCAGUUGAAUGAUGGAGUUUCUUGCAAGAAUACAACACUAAACUACCGCAUCAUCAUCAAUAAUACAGUGAUUUUAAAACUUGUGCCGUAUAUUUCACAUUUAAGUUAAAAUUAGGGGUACUCAAUGAAAGUAACCCUAUCUAACCACCAGGUAUUCUGAACGUUGGUUGAAACCAUGUGAUUAUCAAUUUCCUCAUCAUCACAUCAUAACCCUCCUCCAUCCGACGAUCAGUAUUCUAUCUAUAAACCGACAACUUACGGCAACAAAACGAGUGAGACCACACUAGAUUCCAGUCUCCUUAAGAAAAUCCAAAACAACUAUCAACCACUAAUCGACUUGCCGUCAGCAAACAGCCACACAUUGCUUCUGAUUCUGAACCCCGCCAAUGCUUUGCUGUACACGCCAGCUUCCUUGCUUCUGAUAUGCAAAAUCUGACUCCCCUUAUCUUCACAGAUUCUCCCCUAAUCUUUUCACUAGCUGUUUCCUCCACAUGUUCUAGCUAGCUAAGGUUAUACAUCUCCAGUCUCAUACUCUCCUUUCCUUUAUAACUUUCACUUAUCGUUUGUCUUAUUUUCUUUUAUUUUCUUUCCUUUUCUUUCUCCACUGUAGCUCCAGAUUUUCUUUAAAGGGCUAUUGGGAUUUUCUCUUCAAAAGAAGUUUCAAGGAUCAAAAUUUAAUCUUGAGUUUCAAUAGAUUGGUUAUUUUUCCUUUUAUAUGUAUAAAUAUAUAUAAAGAGUGAAAAGAUGAAGAUACAGUGUGAUGUGUGUGAGAAAGCUCCAGCAACAGUGAUUUGCUGUGCGGAUGAGGCUGCUUUGUGUGCUAAAUGUGAUGUUGAAGUUCACGCAGCAAACAAGCUAGCUAGCAAGCACCAGAGGCUUCUUCUUCAGUGUCUUUCCAAUAAGCUUCCUCCAUGUGAUAUAUGCCAAGUAAUUUCAUUCCUUCCAUUUUUUUUAAAUCUUUUUUGCUUUUAUUUGUUUUCUGUCUUUUUAUGAUUUUCCUUGGUUUUGAUAUGUAAUUUGUUGAUUUUUUCCUGUUAUUUUUGUUUUUAUUUAUGUUAUGUUUGUGGUCUCUUUGCUUCUAGUGUAUAUUAUAGUAAUUUGCACCCAUGAAUUAUGUCCCAAAAAUUGUUAGAGAUUAGGAAUCUGGGAUAUUAUAUGGAAAUUCUCUUUGCAGACACUAUUGUUUUACUAAUUUGGGGAAUUGUCUUAAUAUAUUGUUAGUCUUAGGCUUUAAAUUUUAAGGGGUUGUCGUUCUGUUACCUAUUAGUGCUAGUGUAGGUUCAUGAGGUUGCUUAACAUGGUAUCAGAGCCGAGAUCCUGUGUCUCAAAUGAAUUGUCUACACUUACUAGAUCUCAAUCAAUUGAUUGGUGUUACCAUUGAUGGGAAUUGUUAAGACUUUAAACACCAAUGCUGGACUCUUGUUUACUUGUUUAAGCUUUUCGCUUCUUAGUUACGCAUAAUACUGAUUCCUCUGAUUUGAUAGUUGCAUAAAGCUUACUGUGUGUCUUAUAUGAUGUUCAGGAAAAGGCAGCUUUCAUUUUCUGUGUUGAAGACAGAGCACUCUUCUGUAAGGACUGUGAUGAACCUAUCCAUUCACCUGGUAGUCUUUCUGCUAACCAUCAGAGGUUUUUGGCCACUGGAAUCCGAGUAGCCUUAAGCUCUAGUUGUUCCAAAGAUGCUGAAAGGAAUAUAUCUGAGCCACCAAAUCAGCAAGCAUCACAAACUUCAGUAAAAAUGCCUACACAGCAAUCUUCGAGCAUCUCAUCUCCUUGGGCCGUGGACGACUUCUUACAAUUCUCAGAUUUUGAAUCCUCUGGAAAGGUAAUAAAGAUAUAUAUGUAGAUACUCAAUAGAAUCAUCAUAUUAGAACAUUUGCACAGUGCAUAUUCUAUUAUGAAUACAAGAAUGUCCUAAUAUGGGUGGAACACAGAAAAGUUGAUCUAUCAAGUCCUUGCUCUUCUCUGUUUGCAGAAAGAGCAACUCGAGUUUGGAGAGCUUGAAUGGAUAGCAGACAUGGGAAUAUUCAACGACCAACUUCCUCAGGAGGCUCUAGCAGCUGCUGAAGUACCUCAACUCCCGGUGUCGCAGCCCAACAACUUAAUAUCAUCAUACAGGCCCACAAAAUUCAAUAUGCCAUACAAGAAGCCAAGGAUUGAGAUCCCAGAUGAUGAUGAUGAGCAUUUCACUGUCCCAGAUCUUGGUUAAACAUAAAGAAAUAAUAUCUACAGUCAUUCAUAGGUUGAUGAACUACCCAUACUUUCCUAUGUACACGUACAUAUAAAUAUGUAUUUAGACACAUGUUAUGUGUUAUAAUACAUUUUUAGGAGUAUCAUCAAUCCCAACGCUGAGCAAAGGUCUUGUUUAGCAAUUUUACUUUUCUUUAUCAGCCAUGGAUGUGCAGUGUUUUGUUCUUUUUGGCAUUGAAAGGUCAGAUGUGUUACCCAUGCUUAUAGCUGUAUAAUUCACACUACUUGGUCUAAUAAGAAUACUAUGCCUACUGUAUCAGCAGCUGUUCAAAGGCAGGUCUUGCCAUCUCUGUAGCUUUUGGUUUCUUCAAUGAGAAGUUCAUAUCAUUGAACUGGGGCAAAAGUGAUCAUGUUGGGUGAUAUAGCUUAGGACUUGGGAUUUAGUAUGUUAUUACAGUUUAUAGGGUAGGAUAGGACAUUCAGAUAAAAGUCGGAGUUCUUUAAGGAUGAUUUCCGAGGCCUCGUGGAUAAGUAAUGGUGGUGUGAUUAUGUUAGUAAACCAUUUUAUUUGAAGGUUGAUGUUGUAAUUAACUUAGUUUGUCUGAUAACCUACACCUCAUGAUGUCGGAAUGUUACUAUUUGAAAUUUGAAAUUUCAUUGGCAUUAAACAAUUGAUAGUUGAGUAAAGCUACCUGGCAUGAGGCAACUGCUUACUGUAAACCAAAGCAUCUUUUUAGGUUUGCAAUGAAUCUUUCAUGCAUCACCGGCUACCACAAGCCCUUUAAAAACGAGCUUUUGAGUUUGACAACCGGAAAACCAACAAAUUAAUCAGUCUUUAACUUCCCAGAAAUUGACAAUCUCUAUAGACAUGCAUUCCAUCUUUCAUUCGUGUUUCCAUUGUAUCAUAUUAAUAGCGUUUGCAGCUCUGGUUCCGACCAUUGUCCACUCGGCAACUCUAGCUACAGAUAUUCAAGUUCUUCGGCUGCUCAAACGUUCCAUCGAUCCUAACACUAUUCCAAGAUCUUCCUUCCUCGACAGCUGGGACUUCAAGUUGGAUCCAUGUGAAAGUUCCGGAGGACAUUUUCUGGGAAUCUUAUGCUCGAUUCCUUCAGACAAUUCAACAAGUAGAAUAACAGCAAUUUAUCUUGACAGCAGUGGAUAUGAUGGGUUUCUAACACCAUCAAUCGGAAACCUAACAGAGCUCACCACCCUCGAUCUAAGCCGAAAUAACUUCCGAGGGCCAAUACCAGAUACCAUCACCGGCCUAAGAAAGCUUACUACACUUUCCCUUCCAGGCAAUUUCUUCACUGGCAAUAUCCCUGUAGGAAUUACCAGACUCAAAAAGCUUCAGACUUUAGACCUGUCACACAACAGCCUUUCAGGCAUAAUUCCUGCCCAACUUAGUGGACUAAGAAGCUUGACCGCCCUAAGGUUGUCACAUAAUGCAUUCUCAGGCAAGAUUCCUAGCCUUACUGGAGCUUGGCAACUCCACACACUAGACCUUGACAGCAAUCAGCUUUAUGGAAACUUGCCCAAAUUUCCCACAAGCCUGAGAACUCUGUCUCUGAGCCAUAAUUUACUGUCAGGACAUCUUUCUUCUCUAAGGAAUCUUGUGAACCUUAAGUCAUUGGAUUUGAGUUCCAACAGGUUUACUGGUGCCAUUAGUCAUGAGGUACUUACCUUGCCACAGGUGGUUAGCAUCGACGUUUCAGUCAACCGCUUGACUGCUAUAGAGAUGACCACAUUAUCUGGAGACACACAUCUUCAGGAGCUUGAUGUACAAGGCAACCUGUUGCGGGGUCACUUGCCGAUCAACUUGGUGAGCCUUCGGAAUCUGACCUCUAUUAACCUUGCUCGUAAUCAGUUAUCUGGUCAUAUUCCCAAAGUGUAUGGAGCAAAAUUGGGAAGCUCCUGGAGAAGUUUGUUCUUAGAUCACAACUUUCUAUGGGGAAAUCUUCCACCAGAGUUCUCUAGUAGCAUAACGAGGAUUCGAGGAAGUUUGGCAAAAAAUUGCCUAAGCUGUCCCGAAACCAUUCGAUUGUGCCAUGGAGGGCAAAGGCCAGCUUCAGAAUGUGUAGGACAGAAUGAUAAAGAGUGAGAAAUAUUAUACAUUCAGAAGCAGAUUUUAAAUAAUUUUAGAGUAUACUUACAAACCGUCGUAGGUCAAUUCAUUUCUGGGAAAUACUAUUAAUUUCUAGUGAAGACUAUUUCCUUAACUGAAUCUUACCCCUCAAAACUAGGAAUAUAGAAUUACGACUCUUUUGAUCAAUAAAUAGAAAAUAAUAUUAUGUAUCAUUUUCUUUCUUUGGUUGAUUUCCUGAGCAUCUUUUUCACCAAUACAUUUCCAAUGAAGAGAAUCUAUUCAAAGACUCUCAUUUCGAACUUAAAAUCACAUUUUCCACCAAUAUUCUUCACCAACAAAAAAAAUCAUUUAUAGAAAAUUUUGUAAUUGUUAAAAUCUGGAAGCAAAUGGAAGUCAGCAUAUGAAUAUAAUGAAUGAAAUAUAACAACCAGAUAAUAAAGUAGGAGCCAAAAUGCCUGUAACAUUCUAAAAAUCAGCUAUAGACAGAAUUGUUUCUUGCUACAACAAAAAAAGCAGGCAGUUUAGAAAAGCCAAUUAACAGUAAUGUUGCCAAGCCAUAAGAAAAGCGGUAGUUGGGCAAAAGCAAUAAAGAUCAAGAGAUAGUGAUGUCUGCUUGAAUCGUGUGUCCUCAUCUCUGCGAAUAGGACUCUCUUCAUUGUUUUCACCAAGAAGACACCCAUGCACAUACACAUCCAAAGGAUCAAAAAAUAGUAAGAGUAACUGAACACAAUCCUCCCAAGGACUGCCAGACAUAGUCCGGUAAAAGUAUACCCAGCAUACGCCACAACAUCCAGCAACGGUGCCUCCCCACUACCCAAUGAAAGUAAAGUGACCUUCAGCAGCAUGAAUUGCAUAAACCAUCCAAACAAUCCCUUGAUGAAAAGCCAGUUUAGAGCUUCUGGAGUAAACCUGGGAGGAAAAAUGAAAAUUGUUGCAGGAAAUGUACCACAAUAUUAAGGACAAGAGCUAACCACAACAACUAAAAAGGAAGUCAUUUAACUGGGACAAUUUUUUCAGACACCAUUUGAAAAAAGGUCAUUUAACUGGGACAAUUUUUUCAGACACCAUUUGAAAAAGUAAUUUAUGUUUACAGUGAGACCUCAACUCAUACUCUUUCAGUUGCCUAUAAGCCACAAGCAUAUGAGUUAUGUCUAUAAAAAGUUUACUUCGAAUUUUCACAGACUCUCAUCCAUUGAUGUUAUGUAAUCCAAUGAUGGAGUGUUUUAAGCCACAAGUUAAAAAGGCGAAGCCAAAAACCAAAUAAAACCAAUACAAAACAAGACUGAAAACUUUAGACAAAACUACCAGCAACUUGGAAACACAUUGUACUUUCCAACUAAGCUAAUUGAAGAGGAUGAAAAAGGCCUUUUAAGCAUUAAAAAUAAAUAAGAAACGCAGUGGUAAUAAGUCUCUAAACCAGUUUUGCUACUAACUAUGCUUCCACUGCCACCACCAUACUUGCUGUCACCAAACAACAUUACGUGCUUAUGACUUUUCCAGUUAUUAAGUAGUACUCUUCUUACAUCAUAGUUUAGUUUUUAUUAUCUUUUUAUACGACUCAUCAUUAUGUUCAACGCCACAACAAUAGAAGUAAAUAGGAAACCAAAAAUGAAAAAUACAUUGCUACACAUGCAAGCAAAUAACAGUUACAUCUUGCUCCUUUUACUAAUUGUAUAACACCAUCAUUAGGAGCUGGAACCAAGGAGUGCCACAGUUAAAUCUUUGGAGUGAAGAAAAGAAAAGUGUUCAUUACUAGACAAAUCUAGUUAGGAGACCCUCAAAUUCCAAAAGAUAAAUGAGAAGCAGCAUAAUAUUGAAAAAUUUGAUAACACUCACUUUCCUUGAAGACCCAAUGUGAAGCCAGCGAGGACGACAUAGGUGCCAAAUGCCAUAAAUGGAAUGUACAAAUCUGGUGCAUUUAUAUCAUAUAUUGGAGGUUUAUAAGAAAGCCUACCACCCACUGGCUCAGUUAUUCGUGUCCAAUGGCCCUAAUAUUUGGGCAAAAAAAAAACUAUUACUUCCCAUAGAAUGAGGGGAAAGAAACUAUACAAAGCAGAUGUAAAGAAUUAGUGCUUACCCUGUGAAGGAAUGGAAAGAGAACAACCUUCAAUUUGUUCCUCACAUAUUGGUCAUUCACUUGGAAAUAGUACUGAGGAUCAGAAAAAUACCUACUUAUCUGCAUUAAAAAGAUAAUAUCAAUCAUAGACACAAACAUUUAAAUCAUACUUCAAGGAAAACGAUUCUGCAUGGUAGAACUAAAAAUUUAAGGAAGCAUUGGGAUUUAAAUCUUCAGAAGGUGUUCCUAUGAUGGUAUUAGCAAAUUUCAUAAAAAUGACACAAACCAAUGUACUUGCACAAUAUAUUUCAAAGAUCACUACAAUAUGUGUUGAUGUUUUACUAGUUUGUCUCAGCCAUUGUUUCAGUUUAAGACAUUUUAAACUUUUGGUUUGUCUCGGUUGUUGUUUCAUUUUAAGACAUUUUAAACUUUUUCCAUUAAAAAAUUCAAUUUUUUUUUUUUAAGGUAAUUAUAGCAUGUAUAGUCAUAUAUCAGGACGUCAGACCACAAUUAAACCAGUUCAAACUGUAGUCUUUCCUUACGAAUGAAAACUUUCCAAAAGAACUAGCAGUUAAGAAUGCAGUGAGGACCAUCAAAAACAACAUUCUAGUUAACUGUGUGAACAUAUUGUGUAUGUGCAAGGGCAAAAUGACACUUGUAAUGAAACAUUUAUUUUUCAUAGCUUUGGCCAGAAAAGUGUUUCAGUAAUAGUCUUGGCAUGCCGCUUACAUUGCUUUGCACAUACUCAGAGCUAGAUCCCAAUAUCUUUUCUCCGUAUGCACCCAGUCCACCUCGGAUCAGUCCUGAACCAGCACCGUAAAAUGCAUUCCCGAAUGGAUUGGGCUGGGCAUCUGCAGCUGGUCUGGGCAUCCCAGGCCCAGGCUGUGUUCCCAUAUUGCUAUACAUUUCUGUAAUCAGAAAAUAACAGUCAGAACAAGCUUUGAGAAGCAUCUAAACUCAUCAUCUCCCUAAGUUUCUACAUCUCUUAGCAACAGAUUCUCAUUCCCAUAUUGGUUAACCUCAAAUGAUUUUAUUAUUGUUGCAGUCUUGCAUGGCCAAUACAUUCAUCAGUAACAAUUACCACGUGAUUAGACAUAUUCCCUCUCUCUCUCUCUUUUUUUUUUUAAUCAUUCCCAAAGAUAGCAUAUUAUUGGGUGCUAGAUUGAGAGCACACUUUUUCUUUAUUCAUAAAAGAAAAAUGUAAAGUGGUCUCAGAAGUUGGCAUAGAAAUCACAUAACUAAGAAAGGACAUUCCCUAUAGUCCAUGAGUCAGAAAAUGACAGUAAAAUGCACCAGUCCCUUAAAAUCUCAACAACUCUUCUCAAAUCAUAAUCCCUAGGAAAAUGUGGGGAACGCCAUAAUUUGUUAUUGUUUAUUAGCAAGAAUAAGCAUCAUUGUAAGUCUUUAUAACUUGAACAGUUGUACCCAUUAGAUUCAAAAUCUCAAAACUGUAAUAGACAUUAUUCUUUACUCAUAACAGCAAUCCUAAUCCUAUAUGUACAUCUAUAGCAUUCGAAAAAUGAAUACGAAACCUAAACUCACUUGAACAGCCUUAGUUACAUAAACCUGCACAGUGCUCCUACAAUAUCCUAUACUGAACUUUCUCUUCCUCUAGAAGCCCUAGCUCCUGCAUCAUUUAGGACCAACAAAGAGGAAAGAAUCAUUAACUUGUGAUUUGAAUAAGAAGAAGAAGAAAGGGAUCAAAUCAAAAGAAAAUUCAAAUCCCUAAAAGAACUUACAGUACCUGACUCCUCUAUUGAACUUUCAUCACUACAGCUUCUACCAAAAACCAUAAACAACAAUUUCUAUUAUUCAAAUUAGACUGCUGAAGACACUUCUGUGUUCAACAUGCAUUAAGAACUCAACAGAAGCAAAAGGUCCAGAAUACCCUUCCGUAGGAAACAACUAGACACAAGUGUCUGCUCAAUAAUGAUAACAUUUCACUAUUGAAGCAGAAGGUGUAACAAACUACAGUUACCCGAAAUCAAAAAAGAAAAAGCAAAGCAAAAUCACUAAGAAAAUGUUGGGCUAGUUUCUUAGAAGUAAAUUCAAAAAAUACCAAAUUGUAUAUACUUUGGUGUCAAUGAAUUCAAAAUACAAAAACAAGCAUAAAUUGUACAAAGAAACUGAUAUGCAAACACAUACGAAAAAUCGUAAACCAGCUACGAUUAUCAAAUGGCAUCUCAUAUCUAACAAGAAGUUGUCAUUGUCAAGAAUCCAAAUCCAUCUCGAACAAGAAGUUGUCAUUGUCGAGCAUUCUCAAGAAAAAACCAAAUCCUAAACUUCAGUAGGUCUCCUAAGACAUUCAACAGUUACAUUAACAUUAAUAUCACUCAAUUCAACUUCUUCUCAUGAUCGACAUUUCAAUUAUAAAAAUGCAUAACUUGCCAAAAAAGAAAUCCACUCUCAAUUCCCCAAGAAAUAAGAUACAAACUUUAGGCCUCUACAAGCCACAAGAACAAAACCCUACUUCACAAAUCAGCCGUGAAAGCUCAAAACACAACAAUUUUCAGAUUCUGAUCACUGAAAACUUAAUUCCCAAAAACCCAUUUAACUGUACAGCCUCAGAAUCAUGUUUAAAUCCACAUAUUCACUAUUAACCAAUAUCAAAAACAGAUCAAGAAUAUAUAUUUGCAAGGAGAAAUUGAUUUGGAUCUGAGAAAGGACCUUCAAUAUGAAAAGAUAAUUACCGGAUAGUUUGGCCGCAGAAUAUCGGAGAUUGAUGGGUUUUCCGGCGACGUUUGAUCGGAGCUCGACCGCUUGGAUGUGUAAACUCUGAAAACUGGAACGAGAUGUAACGGCGAUAAAGGGAGAGAACGCUGAAGAAGAAGUAAAGAAUCAAGAAGUUAAAAAGCGAAGAGUGAGUGUCACGUGCAUCUCGCGUGCAGCCGCACAUGAAAUUUCUUUGCAUCACUUGACCAAUCACCAAUUUUUUUUUUCUUUUUAAGAAAAACCAAUUACAAAUUAACAAUCCAUGAUUAUUGAUUUUUUUUUUUUUGGUAGAAAAUAACUCAAAUUAUGAAUAUUGAUGUCUUUUUAUCUUAAUAACUAAUAACGAGAGAUUAUGUAUAAUCAAAGGGUCUUAUAAUUGUAAUGUCAUUUGAAUAAAUGAAAGCUUUUACCAAACUUUUAUACUCAAUGAUUUACUUACAAAUUCAGUGAAUUAUUAAAUAUUACUUGUAACCUUUUAAGUUUUAACAACUGAUCCUUAGUCAAAAUAGGUAGAGAGGACCUUUUUUGUGUCAUUCUUGAGGGAGAAGGUUUGGAGAAUAGGGAGAGGUUAAAUUAAGAUAAAUUCAAUAGAAUUGAGUCUUCAGGUCUUGACAUGGCUUAAUAUAAUAUAUUUAUCAUUUGAUUUCUACUCAUCUAUAUCUGUAAAAUUUUUAUAUAAAAAGAAAAACAGAUUUUAAAUCCAUUAUUUAUUGCAAAAUUAAUAAAUUUAUUUUUUUAUAAUAAGAAUAAGAUUGGUGAUUAAAAUAAUUAGGCAUAUUAUUAAACUUCACAAAGUUGAUAAAAAAUAAUAACAACACGAUAAUUUAUUUGUCCUUCGAGCUAUCUUUAGUGAAGUUGAUUUUUAGCUGCUGACACUCAAUUUGAAUGUAAAUGGAGGAAACACUGAAGGCGUUGGAGAGCUCUCUUUCUCAUAUCAAAUGGCGACUCAAAUCCUCCUCUAAGCUUCGACUCGAGAUUGGUCAUCUUUAUUUUCCCUCUUUUUAUUAUUAUUAUUUUUUUCAUGAUCUGUCGUCCCACUACAUCUUAUAAUUUACUGAUUCUUUCAUUUUGUUUAGUAUCUGAAUUUAUUUCCACUGUAAUUUAGUUUUCUGGGUCACCUUCAAAAUUUGGAAUUUUGUUUACUUUCUGCGUUUUUUGCUUUUAUUGUAGUUGUGAACUCAUGGGAAUUUCUUUUAUUUUCCCUGCUGUUGUUUGGUAGAUGAGAAAGUGAAGGAGAGAGGAAAGAAAUUCUUGAAGUUGUUGAAUGCUUUAUCUUUUAUGCUUGCAUCCUGAAUUUCUGUUCUGCUCAAUGGCAUCAAGUGUUAGCAAACAGAAUGAUUGUAAAGAAAUUUAGGUUCUUCAUAAUUUACUUUAUAACUGCCUUGUGUUUUUGCGUUGGCCAGAAACGAUUGGUGCAACGUUCUUUUGGCUGCAUUACUGCAUAAACCUGAUAGGUUUCGGUGCAAGGUUUAGGAACCUCAUAGCUUUUUGCAUCACUUCUGAGGUUACAGACUAUGAUUGUUACGUUCACUCAUACUGAGGUCAUAUGGAUAUGUGCAUGUUCAUUAAUAUUAUUGUAUUGAAUUGUAUUCACUUUAUAGUGAACUUGAAUUGUUGGAACUUUUGGCAGAUAUUCUAGCAUUAUGCACAGGGAUGAGGCCAGUCAUAAUGGUAGACUAUGGUGGAAAGAUGCCUGAACUGCAAGAGCACUUAUGUGAACUUCUUAAGCGCUGUCAAAAGGUUUGACUCCUGGCUUAUUCACUGGAUAAGUUUAUGAGAAAUGUGAUAUAUUGACAUUGUGUUAGUGUUAGAUGGGUUGAUCUGUUCUGUGAAAGCGGGGUGCUCACUGUGUACACUCUCUGUAAAUAGAUAAAGUCGACGUGGUUGUAUUGUGGGAUGCUCACUGUUUGUUAUGUAAUUAUAUAGGUCAUCAAAUUUUAUGUCAGUUAUCUCUUGAUAAGUAUAUGUUGUUAUCUUACACAGUCAUGGGGUUUUCUUAUACCUGUUCUCUGUAGACAUGCAUUACCCUAAAACAUCUAAGCAUAGCUAUCCGUUUCUUAUUGGAUGGUUAGAUGUUAAUAUUAUGGUUAUACUUGUAAAUAAUGCAGCAUCAUUUUAUCUUUAACUUUUCUUCUGUUUAUUAAGAGCUUAUUGUCUAUCAAGAUUUCAAUAUUUAUUGUUUAUCCAGGAAUCACCCUCUUUUGAGCAUCUAAGAGUAAUGGUUAUAGAAGAUAUGAUAUAUUUGAUACAUGUUAAAGGACUUGCCGAAUAUGUUAGCUCAAGCUUGAGCUCAGAAGCUGAACUGCACUUCGUGGACCUAGAGCAGGAUCCACCAAAGGUUGCUGCCCCCUAUAGGUUUAAAUUCCUUUUUUUUGCCACCCUUUGAAUAUACUCUUUUCUCCUCUUUACUGAAUACAAUUUCAUUCCUUUACCAGAUGAUAACACUGAAAGAAAAAAGCUCAGUAGGGAUGCAACUAAUAUCAGUUCAGAAAUUGUUUUCAUUAGUUUUUCCACCCAAUGGAAUGACCGAUGAAAUUAGGUUACCUAACAGGACAGAUCACACCAUUGAAGCCACAUCUUCUAACAUUACAAUCUCUCCUCAAUCUACUGAAGUUGUUGAUCUCAGUAGCUGCAUUUGCGACAGUCAGGUCACUAUUCCAACUUUGAAUGGGUAAUUUCUGUAAACUUGGAAAUACAAUGUUGAGGGAAUCCUUUAUAUGUACCUGUUGGAUACUUGGACUAUAUUAGAGUUGCUUGAGUUGUGACAAGUUUCUGAGAUCAGAGCAUGGACUGUCUAAGAGGUCAUUCAUAAGCAGAAUUGUCCCGUUUGAGAAGUCUUCUGGAAACCCGACUUAAAUUAAAAAUGCAGUUUGCUGCAUUCUUGUAUUCUGGAUCUUCCUCUCAAGAAAUUUGUCUAUCAUGCAUCAUGCAUUAGCAGCUUCUUAUUGUAAUACAAAGAACUAACUACUCAAUUUGUUUCAGAAAUUUAAUAAACUAGUGUUAGAUGUUGCUAUCAUACCGUGGUGCAAUAACACUGGGAUUUGAUAUGCUUCAGAUGGCUUCUUGGUUAUCCAGUUGUGUAUUUGUUUGACAAGGAGCAUAUUGCUGAUGCUAUUUAUAAUCUUUCAACCCAGUCUCUUCGUAUCUUCAAAAUUUUGGUCACCAGGUUUGUUGUUCCUCAACUUAUCUCUCAAUGCACAUAGCUAGAAACUGAAGAAUGACUCUAACUGCUCAUGAUAAUAAAAAUAGUGGCCUAGUUAUAAAAGGGUCAAGCUUUUCUAAGAAUAUUUAUUUUGGUCCAAUUAUCUCUAUUUCGAACAAACUUUGCAAUUGCAUUGAAUUUAUUUUGAUCUUCUCGUUGGUAUACAAAAAGAAUGUUUUCAUUCCAAAGGCUGAAGUACUUAAACUGCUACUGCAGGGAACUCUUAUUUUCAAUCUUCCCCCUUGAAAGAAAGGAAAUCAAGUUUCAUAGAUGUGCUUAGGAAAUUGAUCAAUAGAAAAUUGUUAGAUUUACCAGUCAAUUGUUGCUCAAUUUUACAUUAGUGACAAACAGAUGACAGUUUCCUCGUCAAACAUUUCCUUAAAAGUUUAUUUCAUCAAAUAUUUGACAAGAAGUAGCUUAUGAUCUUCCUUGAGUCUAAAACUAAUAAUUGACUGAUGUCAAAGUUUGAACUUUUCAGGAAUGGUCCCUUCAGUAAAGGAUCUAUGCCAGAAGAACUAAUGAGGUAAUAUUUAUUAUUAUAAUUUUAGGUGGUAGAGUUUAGUCUAAACAAGAUAUGAUGGCCUCUGAGUCCCAAGAAAUGUGCAUUUUGAGGUGAAAUAGUUACAAAUUGUGAAAUUGGGAGGGAUGUGAUAAUGAUUAUAUGACCCUAGGUUCUUUUGUUUUUUAUUUAUUUUUUUUUUUUUCAAGAUAAGGAUAUGACCCUUGGAGUGAGUUAUUAGGACCUUUGGUUUUAAAAGAGGUAGGGGUUCAAAACCUUUGGGUCACAUACUUGGGAUGUUAUAUCUCAUAAUUUUUUGGCUACCAAGAUUGUAGGAUCCUGUAGUAGUCCUCAGUUUAGUACUUUGGCAAAUUUUUUAAGAGAGGUCAAUGAUUGUGUUUCAGGCCAAACAUAUGUAGAUAGAUUAAUAGUUUAUUUCUACAUUGAGAUUAUAAAAAAUAAGCAGGUAAGACAAAAUUAGUCUACAAAGAUCAUUGGUGUGGUUGUUAAUGCAAGUGCGCCUUUCGUAUAUAAAAACACUUAAAUCUCCCUUCAUAUUAUCUAGUUAUUAUAACAUGGUUGGGGCAUAUUUUGGCAUUAAGCUGUAUACUUGCUGACUUUAGCAAAAUGAUGGAAUUUCGAUAUGCACCAUGAUGUGGCACAUUGUCAUCAGUACAACUUAUUAGUGCAACUUGAGAGCUGCAGAAGGGUACAAUUCCCUAAUCAGGUCAAUCUCAAGCUGGAAGUAUUUCCGUCAAAUAUGCCAAAUAUGAUUCCAGUUGUGCUGAAUUUUUAAAGCAUAUGCCAUCUGAUGAUGUCAGAUAACCUCCUUGCCUCAUCUCGAUUAUCUUGUGGGUUAUGAGGCAUCAAUUUUCUUCAAUUGGAUUUGUUUGGUGCACUGUCUUUCUUAAUGGUUUACCUAUUUUUAAUAGAUGUAAUGACAUACAAGUCUUGCCUUAGUGCAUCAAGAUGAAUGUCUGAAGGCACCACACUGUUUGUGCCUCCAAGGUGAAGUGUGGAGGUGUUGGGGGAAAUACUUUAGAUAGAAGGUUUUAAGGGAUCCACUUGUGCAAUACUACAAUGGAAAUGGACUGAAUAUGUUAUACCACUGAUCUUAAUAUGAUUCUCAUUGUGUUUGUUGUUUUAGUUGAUAGUUAUAGUAUUCUUCAUUGACAUGCCAUUCAGAAGAAUCUAUGGUGACAUGCACUUGGUUAUCAAUGUUGUUUGUCAGAUAUGGAAGAGGCGCAUGCUUCUGGACCACAAUUAUAUAAAACUACUUUAAUUACCUUAAGAGAAAGUGGGGAUAUUAUCAGAAGCAAAAUAUUGUUAACGACUAAGGGGAUGAUUUAUUUGCUUAACUGAUUUUGAGAUAUUAUUAUCUAUUUACCACAUGUUGAUAUCUGUUUCCAUGUGAAAAUUGUUUUGUAGUUUCUCAGUGCCUUAUGAACUGAGCAUGGAGGGAAGCAAUGAACCAUGGGCAGAGAUGUUUCUGGCUAAAAUGCAAUCAAAGUGGGCAAAAUGCGAUCCAACUUGGAGGACACUGCAGAUGGAGGUAAGUGAAUGCUUUCCACAAGCAAUUGCAUUAUAGUAAUAUCAUUCUCUACCAACGUCCACCUCUCUAUUCCUUCCCCAACCUACCUCAAAUAUCGUCACCUUGCAAACUCAGACAAUCUGGAAAUGGAGCAUAUUCACUGAGAACGUAACUUGUGGCUGUGAUUUUGUAGUAUGAUAUCUAUAGAAAUUGCAUGGAAAAUUUUGUAUUUUACAUGUUGUACUUGAAUAGGAAAGCUCCCUAUUAAUGAGUAAAAUAGCAUGGAAAAUUUUGUAUUGUAGAUGUUGCUGGACUUGAAACAAAGUAAUCAAGGGCGGUGAAAAUAUAAAAUGUGACUAAACAUUACACAUACCAAACUAUUCUGAGGCGACGAUAGAAUGAGUGAAAAUUAUUCUAAGGCCAAAAAAAAAAGGGACAAAAAUAAACCACUUCAAAGAUAUGGUUCAAAAAGGCGCUUAAGCAGAAAGAAAAAUAAUUUCUUUGGAUUGCUGCUAGGAACAGCAAUGAUUUUGACCGUACGCCAUUUGGCAUUUGCAUGCAAGAAAACAGAGUCAUUUCAUCUUUUACUUUUUCAUGUAAAAGGGCAGAAAGAGAGCCCCCCAGUCCCCACUCGAUCACAAAGGAAUGAACGGACUAUAAAUUUGAAACAACAAGGCUGUUUAAUGCUUAAAGUACGUUUUCAUUUUUGAAGCUUGUCAUUAAAAAGGUUUCAAGUUUCAUUUUUAAUGGACAAUUUUCAUGUUUCAAUCAAACACUUUAGUUCAUGAGGGGAAUGGCAGUUUGGGCCCUCUAAAAUAUCAUUUUUCCCACUUGAGUCCUCCUUUUAUGGGAAAUGAGCUAAGAAAACUAAGGCUGCUCCUUAAAUGAUGGCUGCAAGCCCUUUUGAUUUGAUGAGAUGGCAAUCACGAGAAACGAUAGUUUUAUUCGCUAAAGCAGAGCAGCAACCUUUAAAGUUCAAAGCUCAAGUCUUCGAUCAUUACAAAUAGGGAAAAACAAGUAACCUAAAUAUUGAAAAAUAAUAAUAAUACAGAAGAAACUUCUUUUCAUUGAAUUCAAAGCAACUUCCGUAGAAACAAAAAGAAAAUUCAAAAUACAAACAAAAAGAAAAUUCAAAAUACAAACAAAAAAAAAAAAAUUGGAACUAAUAAUUUUGUUUAUUAUUACGCUCCUUUGAGUAAGUUGAGAGCUUCAGACUCUGUGGGUAGAGCUGGAAUUGCUCCCUUCUUGGUGGUAGUGAUGGCUCCACAGGCAUUUGCAAAUUUCAAUAUCUCCCGCAACCUUGGUUCAUCCUGGAGGAAAAAAAAAUCAAUAGUAGAUAAAUAACCUUAAAAUUAAAAUCAAGAUUAAUAAAUAGCAAUUGUUAUAAUAAUUAUGAGAACAAGUUACCUCAAGAACAGAUUGGUCAUCAACAAGCUUCCCUAAAAGAGCACCAACAAAUGCAUCACCAGCGCCGGUUGUAUCUACUGUGUUCACAUGAAAAGCAUCCACUGCUCCUCUGAAACUCUAAAAUUUUCAGGAAAAAAAAAAACAUGAAGAAUAAUUAGGUUACAGUUUCCCCCUCCAUACUAACAGGUAAUAAUACUGUUUGAUUAUUAGAAUAUAACAUGCUGAUGUUAAGUGAACCUACAGAUGAAACAUUUGCGUUGGGAUUAUUAAAACUUAAAGGUAGGGUUAAAAUUCUACCUACCUACCCCUUAAUAUUAUUAAAAUAAAAAUAAAAUAUUUCACCAAAAUUCAAGUUGGAGGGUGGGGGCUCCUCACUUACACAAGCAGAUUCGGUUCCAAGGAAAAAAGACUUGAAUAACAACAACAGGCCUUGUCCUUUAACAUCAAGCCAAGAGACAACAUCACCUAUUGCUAAUGGCUCUUCAACCAAUAAAACACUUCUAACCAAAACUUCAAAUUUCCCCAUCACCUCACUAGACUUUUUUUUUUUUCGAGAAUUAAAAUUUUCUAGUACUUGCAACUUAAAAACAGCCCACAAAAUUAUAAAUUCACAACUGACUACCCAGCUGGGUGCAAGUGGGCCUACUCCAUUUUUAUCAACACAAAUCACACCAACCACCAUACCAACUGUUUACUGCUAAAGUCUAAAAUUUAAGCAACCUUCAUCUAUUCAACUAACAAUCCAACUAAAUAAAGAAAUUGAAUUCAGCUUAGCUGGCAAGUUUUCUAUAUAUAUAUAUAUAUAUAUAUAUAUAUAUAUUUUUUUUUUUUUUUUUUUUUUUUACCUUGGUGUAGUAUCUGCAGCCAUGCUCACCAAGGGUGACCAAAAGGAGUUUCAAGUUGGGAUGCCAAAGCGACAAUGCUGAUUCAUCAUCAAUCUUGUCACUCCCGGUGAGGAAUUCAAGCUCCACAUCACUGACUUUGAUUACCUCGGCCUUGUCCCAGAUGCUCAUUAUCUGCUCGCGCGCCUCCUCCGGCGAGGGCCACAACGGUAGCCGGAGGUUGGGGUCGUAUGAGAGAAGGGCUCCUGCUUCCUUGGCUGCUUUCAUUGCCUCCAAGUGCGCUGAUCGGCAUGGCUCCACUAUCAGGCUUAUUGACCCAUAGUGGAAAACUUUGGCCUGCACGCAGACCAAACUAAAAUUAAGAUAAACAAAAAACACAAGUAAAAUUGAAAAAUAAAAUUAAAAAACGUGUGAAAUGUGAAUGCAAGGCGCGUGAGGAUUUUAGUCAAAAAGUAGCUACUAUUAAAGACAAUAAUGGCUCUGAACACAAAUAUUUCAUGAGUGUUUUAACCGUAUCGAAUUAACUAAUAUUUUUUGGGACAUUAAUAAUUAAUUUCGGAAAUGUAAAUGGAAGGCGCGUGGGAAAGAGACAACAAUUAAAAAGAAUCCGUAGGAAGGGUCCACGGUAUAAUAAUGGAAUCCAGGUGGUGGGUAAAAACUACACGAUUAGAUCUGAGUGCCGAACGCAUGCGGCGUCCCACAUCUAAUAAGUCUGACGUGUCGAGUUUUUAAUUCUUUGCUCUGCCGCGCGUGAGAGCACGUGACGUUAACACCUAAGCCGCUAUACUCCUCAUCCCAAAAAAGAAUAAUGAUCAGAGUCAGCUUUUCUAUUUAGAAAUUCAACGAGGGCCGCUUGAUGUCAUGAUUCACGCCUCAAGUGGAACCCGCCUGCGAUGAUAUAAGCUGGAUCAACAGAAAAUUACUUAAGAUGUGUCUAAAGAUUUAAGUCAUCCCCUGUGACUCCAUCAACCAACGGGCUGGACGGUGAUUUAGCGCCGCCGUUGCAAAAAUCCAAAAGUCAAUAUUUUUUUUUUUUUUUUUUUUGUUCAGCUCGGACUCGAAUGAGAAAAUCUAGCGAGAGAAAUUGGGAGUGAAAAGAAAGUAAGUGGGACCCGCUGUCCCGGUAAGUGGCAAGAUCCCGCAGACCGCGCGUGAAAUUCAUGCAAAAGGAUCACAAAAGUAAAAACAAAAUUGAAAAAAAAAAAUUAACGUACAGAUCUGAUCAGCUCAAGAUUAAGCUCGUCGGGUCUCAAGAGCAUAUCAGCGCUGGGGUUUCUGUAAAACAUGAACUCGCGCUCGCCGUCAGCCCGCAGGGUCACGAAUGCAAGGGCAGUUCUGGCACCCUGGUCAAAGUUGAUGCCGUCAGCGCUGACUCCGUUCUCCUUCAAGAUCCCAGCGAGCAUGUGACCGAACUCGUCGUCGCCGAGCUUGCCGACGAAGGCUGCCUUGCCGCCGAGGCGAGCUACGGCUAUGGCGACGUUGGCGGGGGCGCCGCCGGGGGCCUUGAGGAAUCCGGGGGCCUCGGCGAGGGAGACGCCGGAGACCGUCGGGACGAAGUCGAUGAGCAUCUCACCGAAGGACACGAUCAGGCUUGAGGAGGAUGAAACGGCGCCGUUGGUAGCCAUUUGUACAAAAAUCGAAACGAUGUGUAUUGAAUGGAGAGAGAGUCUAUGAAGAGAAAUAAAAUCAAUAGAGAGAGAGAGAGAGAGAGAGAUGAAGAAGUAAGUGGGAAGCGGUAUUUAUAGAGAGGAGUGGUGGGUGUCGUUAGAAAUUGGAUUAAAUUUAAUUAAUAAUUAAAAAAUAGAAAAAAAGAGUAAGCGUAAUUUAUGGGUAAGUGAUAUUAAUUGGAGAUCUUUUUCCUUCUGGAAUUUCUUUUCUCGUCUUCCAUUGUAAUUGCAAUUGCCUUGGUUUGGAUAAUAAUUUGUUUUAGAUAUUUAUUUGUGGGUCCAUGCAAUAUUUUAUUUAUUUAUUUAUUCUUAUAAUUUUGUUUCUCAUUUUAGAUUUAAGUUUAACUAGGGACUCAGGAGACUUUAACACUUGAAAAGGACUGGAAACGAUUUUAUAUGGGAUAAAUAUUUUUGGAGAUUUUUUCUAUUCAUGGAAGGUAUGAGAUUAUUUUCAUACCUAAUUUCUUAUUCGGAAAAGGGAUAGAAAAAUUUUUUUACCUAAUUUUUUUUUUGUGGAGGGGACAAAGAUGAGAUGUAAUCCCCAUCCCAUCCCCUACUUAUUUCCUCAUUUUAAUUUUUUAUUUUUUUAUUUUUAAAAAUUAUUAGUAAAUAAAUAAUAAAUUUUGAAUUAUAAAAUUAUAAAUGUUGGUAAAAAUAACAAAUAUCAAAAUAUUUUUAUUAUUAAACUUUUAGGCCUAAUUAACUAAUUAAAGUCCUAAAUUUUUAUUUAGGACAUUAAAAAGACCGGAUAGAUUCUAUUAGCCUAAAAAUUUUGUUUUAAUUUUAAUAUUCAUUAAAUAUUUUAAACUUAAAUCUAUUUUUUAUUUAUUUUUAGAUGUUAUAAUUGCCCACAACGAAUCACAAUUUUUAUAUCUAAUCUAAUAUUUGCUCUUGAUUUGCUUCGACUUAACUAUUGUGCUGUAAAGGGAAUAGUCCAUAUUUAUAAAGUGUUCACGCCACCAUUGAAAAAGUUAAUUUUGAAUCUAAAUUCGAUUUUAUUUGUAAUAAUUUUGUAUUAAACUAUUAAUUUGUUCAUGAUAGUUUGUAAAAGAAGUUUGUAUGCGUUACUUACUAAUUUAAUGUAUGUGACUUUUGUAAUGGAUAUUAAUGUAAGAUAUAUUUCGAACUUUACUUUUAUUUGAAUUUUUUAUUUAAUAUGAUUAACUCAAAAUCGAAAACAAAAGAAUGUAUUAGUUAUUCGGAAAUCGGGGACCCUCGGGAAUCCCAUGUUCUUAUUCGGGGAAAUGAUGGAGAUUCUCUCAAGUAAUUCUAACGAGGACGGGGAUGGGGAGGGGACAAGGACAUAGGCAAAAUAUUGGGGAUGGGUACAGAGAGAUCGGUCCCCUCCCCUCACCUCCCCAUUGCCAUCCCUAGAGGGAAUGAGGUGAAAUCUCCAUCUUUUCUCUAUUUUUUAUUUUAUUUUUUAAAAUUAUUAGAAAAUAAAUAAUCAAAUUGAAAUUGUAAAAUAAUAUUUAUUCAAACAACAUAAAUAUUAAUUAAGAUAAAAUUUUAAUACAAUUUAAAUUUAACCACAACUCAAAGCACAAUCCACAAACAGAGGAGGAGUAAGAGGUAAGAGCUUUUAUUGAAAGUAUUAAUUUAAGUACCUAUAUCUAUUUUAUCUAUUUCAUUAUUGACAUUAAAGUAAUUUUUUAUUAUAAAAUUAUGAAAAUUGACUAAAAUAAUUAUUAUGAUGAUUUAUAUUUUGUAGUGUAACUUUUGUAAUGGAUUAAUAUUAAUGUAAGAUAUAUUAUCAAAUUUUACUUUUAUUUAGAAAAUUUUUAAUAUGAUUAAAUUAAAUUAAAAACUAAAAAUGUAUCAGUUAUUCGAUAAUCAUGGAUUUCAUUUCCUCUCCUCAAGCAAUUCUAUUGGGGGGGCAAGAAAGGGACAGUGACAUAUGCAAAACAUUGAGACUGAGUACGAAAAUGUUGGUCCCUUUCCUUCUCUCCCCAUUGUCGUCCCUAAGUUUAAUUACUUACAAAAUAUAGCUUUAUGAGUUUCUUUUGAAUUAAUAUUUAAGAUUGAAAAUCCGAUUCGUAAUAGAUUUGAACUAUUUUAAAAACCUUCGGUCUCUUUCACAUUACACACUGAGUAACUCGAAAUGUCUUGAUAUGAUAUUUAUAUUAAUGAAACAAAAGAAAGUUCAUAAAUUUAUUAUUCAUUUAACAAAUUUAUUAAUAAAGAAUAAUGAAGAUUAAUAAUUUUGUCUACAAAUAUACAAAAAAAGAAUAUUGGAAUUAAUUAAGUUAAAUAAUCCAAAAAUAUUUGAAGAAAGCAUGUUGGAAGUGAGAGGGAAUGGGUUGCAAGUUUACGUAGCUCGUUAAUAGAGAGAAUCACGUUGCCCAGUGGGCAGUGGCUGUCAUUAAUUGAACAAAUAAUACAAAACAACACAUUCAUCUUCUUCUUUUUAUUAAAAAAAAAAAAAAAACAAAUUUAAUAAUCAAAUACUGUCUAAUCUUACCGUGGUUUUUCUGUAUUUUAAUUUAUUUUUUUAACAUUAGUCGGUGUUUAAUUAAUUAAUAAAUUAACAACACAAAAUCGCCCACUCCCAUGACAAAAUCCAACUUGUAUUCUAGAAUGUUCUAAUCAUCCGUGACUUUUUCUUUUUCUUUUUUUUAAUUUUUAAUUUUUAAUUUUGACAGAAAUUUACUGGAACCUACCUUGAUCAAACGCAAUGACAGAAAAAUACAAUUCAAAUGUUGAAAAUAAAUAAAAAAAAACAGAGUCUUAAACAUAGUCGAAAACAAUGCACUCAACUUGUUGGUCUCAUGUCUCGAACGUUUUUGUUAGUCAUUCAUACAAUAUGUUAUUAAUUAUUUAUCAAAUAAACGUUUAAAAUAAUUAUUUUUCCCUUUUUUAUCUAUUAAUUUUAUUUUUAAAAUAGUAAAAUAAAUAUAAUAAUAAUGAUUGUAAAUGUUAUUUAUUUUUAGACAGAAUCUUCAUCAUUAAGUCGAUAAACUAACAAAUUUUUUUUUUUCUUUACGAGCUAGAAAGAUUGCUAGAUUAGGAUAAUCCCUUAUAGGAAAAUAUGUAUGGAGUAAUAAAUUAAAAAACAAAAAUCCUAUUUUCCUGGAGAGAUAAUCUCUUUUAGUUGAAUUUACUUCAAAGAAAGAAAGUGAAUCCGUUCAAAAGGAUUAGAAUGGUAUCCGCAAUCCUCUAUUAAUUAAACUUCUGAUUCUUGAGGUUUCUAAUUCCAUUAAACUUGUUAUCUUAUGUGAAAGAUUCAAUUGGAUUUGGAUCAUAUUCUUGCAUUUUUCUUAUGAAUAACAUCUUGGAUUAGUUCAGAACACAUUUAUCAAGUGAUUUAUUCAAGUCUAUCUAUCAAAUUAGGAGGACUAGUUAGAAAUUGAUUUGGAUUUUGGAUAAAACAAAUUCAUCCAAAAUUUUAUCCAAUUAAAUGUCUAAUCGAACUUGAAAAACCAGAGUAUUUUGUUGAGACAUUUUUCGAAUUUUAAAAAUUCAUUUUAAGACUCUCUUGGAAUCUUCAGAAUUAUCAUAUUUUUUUUAUUAAACAAAUUAUAAACACUUAGUAGAAUUUAUAAAUUUUAUCACAGAAUACAAAGACCUUUAAAACUAUGUAAACAACUCAAAAACUUGAAAUUAAAAAUCCAAUGGCCCUAAUCCUAGUCUAUUAAGAAAGACAUUUUGGAUAAUGUUGAUAACAAAAUUAUGGAAAAACGUUAUUUAAUCAUAAAAAUGCAUCAUGGGCAAAUUUAUAUAUAUAUACAAAAAUGUUUAAGUCCGAAAUUUUAAAGAGAAAGUUACAGUUUUAAGCUUUUAAAAUCGUGCGGUUUUAAAACUUUCUUGCACUUUAAAAUCCUUAAUAUAUAUAUAUAUAUAUAUAUAUAUAUAUAUAUGAAUGAAAGAUAUAACUUCUGUAUUUAUUAUUAUUUUUUAAAAUUAUCCCUGCAGAGUAAGUUACCCCUAUCCAAUCGUUACUCCUUUUUUUUUAAUACCUUAAUUGUAAUUUUUAUUAGACUCAAACUCAAACCCUAACAUUUUAUCAUAUAUUCAACAUCUUAAAUUUCAUCUAUCUCUUCAGAUAAUUUAGGUCCAAAUUUAACAUUUUACGGUUACCCAAUCAGUUUCUCUCGAAAAAAAUAAAAAAUUGUUUGUCAGUGGGUUGAUUUUGAUCCCACAACCACAGAUGAUAUAAAAACCCACAUUUUUAGACAAAGUCUGAGUUGAUGAAAAUGGUGGGUCACCGUCCGUCACCCAUAGUUUUUAUAAGUUUAAUUUUUAUUUUCUUGUUCUGUUACGUUGAAAAUCAAAAUCAUAAAACCAUUAAAGUGGCUGCCCACUUGCUUGUUGUGCACAUUACAGCAGUCGAUGAAGAUCAAUUAUUAUUUUUUAUCAGAAAUUUCUCAGCAGACAGUCUUUUUGUUGCCACAACUCAGAACCGAGAAUGAAAUUGAUAAGAAAUUCCCCUAGUCCCAAGUCCCAAGUCCCUACCACGACACAACACUCACUCCACACCAAAUUCAUUUGGAAUUUUAUUUAUAAUUUUUUUUUUCUAAACUUUAAAUGGGUUAUUUUAUUUUUAAAAAUUUAUUGUUAAGAUGAGCCCAAUUAUUAAGCUAUAUUAAAAAUUUUAAACUGCAUAUUACAAACAGCAUUUAAAUUACAUUACAGGAUAUAUUUUUUUGUAUAUAUAAACCAUAUAAAAUCUCUUUCUAAAUUUGAUAAGUCAUUGCUUUCCGAUUGGUUGUAGCCAUGCUUGAUUGAGUUUACUUUGGUAUUUAUUUAUUAAAUAAAUUUCUGAAUGUGGGUAGUGAGUCAAAUAUUAGUUGUCGUAUUUGAUGAGUUGAUCAUGACUCUCUUCUACAACAUGUGCAUUAUUAUUUUUUUUCAAACAGUUUUUUUGAUUUGUAAUUAUUAUAUGUCGUGUUUAGUGCAUUUUGUUUUGCAAACUCGCAACUUGCCAGAUUGGCAGAUCCCAUGUGCUUGCAAGAAACCCCCUUUUUUUUAAAAAAAAAAGGUAGUUUCAAUUGAUUUAUUCUGAUGCAAAUCAAAUCUAUUUGGAACUUUGUUUUUAAGGAAUUUAUUUGUAAUAUUGAAAAAAAAAAUACGAACUUCAUUUUCCUUUUUUUUUUUCUUCCAAGUUAUUACCUAGAAAAACAAUAAAAGAAAAUGAUGGAUUUGUUUGAAAUCGGAGACGACAAUAGCCAUGCUCCAAAAGACAACAAAAUAUAGAAAUAGAAACAUGUUUCAACAUUUUGAAAAAAAAAAAGUCCUACAUAAAUGCCAAUUUGGUGGAGACAAAAUCUUUGCUACUUUAGUUUUUGAAGUAAAAUAAGGAUAGUAUAUGAAGACGAUUUACUUAUUAAAUAAUGAAGACAAUUUACUUAUUAAAGAAACUAUGGUUCAAAACAACUACAUCUAAUUUGACACCCCAUAUAUUAACCUUAUAUCUGAGGACAAAUGUUUGAUGACAUAUGUUUGAGGGAAGCGAACGAGUUCCUUUUGUAUAAAAGAUAGAAUUUUAUUUUAAUUAAGGGAAAAUGACACCAAUUCUCCUUUAGUUUGAUAAACAGUCACAUAUGUUAUUUUUUCAGAUAACAUACAUCCAUUUAUAUGUUUAAAAAUAAUUAUACGAACUAUUUUUUAGAAAUAUAAACUCAUUUUUAUAUUUAGAAAUUAUUACAUAUUCAUAUAGACCCCCAUGGUUUGUCUAGAAAGAGAAUCUACGUGUUCCAAAAGGGGUGUAUGUGACUAUUUUUAAAAAUAUAGAGUUUUUGUAACCAUUUCACCAAAUCACGAGAGUGUUAGUGUCUUUUUUUCCUUUAAUUAAUUUAUCUUGUUUUUUAAUUAUGACGGGAAUAUUCUUAUGGUAUAUUAGUCUCUAUUCAUGUCAUGAAUUUUUCCAAUAUCACGUUACUUCGUAUAUGAAAUUUUAUCCCAAGUUUAUAUGUGUAUUAUUCAUUUACUGUAUUUUGUUUUAUUAGAAACUAUUGAUACAAAUUUUGUCCCAACUUAUGAUGUAGAAAUUUCGACUGAGGACGACCCCCUUAAGACUUGGGUUCCUCUUUGUUGGAUUUGAUAAUAGUGAGUUUAUCAUUUGGAUUGAUCUUAAUGGGUCUUUAUAUAUCCUCUUCUGAGUUUACUUCUUUAGGCAAUCAAAAUGUCCUUAUUUAAUGAUACUCUAUAAACACAAGAAAAAUAUCAGAGGGCCGACUUUGCCGGCGUAAACUCUCCGACGGUCAAGUCAGUCAUUGGACUUUUGAAAAUAUAAAUUUAGAAAGAGAAAUAUUAGAGGGAGAAAGUUAGCCCUUUUUACUUUUGAGUCUCUUUCUUCUUAGCUUUUACAGAGAAUGAAAGACAUAUUCAUCGGCCAAAUUGAUUUGACUUGAGUCCUAGUUAUUUUGAUGACAAAUGUCAUUGUUCUUGUGACAUUUGGCAGCACUUGUCUUUUAGUACCAAUGUUGAUUGACACAUGGAUAUACAAACUUGUUUACGGAUUAAAGGAAUAAAUAUUUUAUCCUUAGGUUAUUUUUACUAAGACCUUGGGAUCAUAGGAGCCUUCAAACUUAGGAGGUUUGUCCUAGGAUAAGAGCUUAUAAUAUCGACAUCUUUUGGGCUUUGAAGGCUUAUUACUUAGGAAUAUCAUUCUAGGUGGUUUGUCCACCACUUCGUGAGAAUAAUUGAGAGAAAAUUUAUUAGAUAGGUCUUAUUGAGAUUAAAUUUAUUUAGGCCUUAUUAGGCUUAUUUUAUAUUUGGUCCAACAGAAACUAAUUACGGAUUUUGUAGCCACCGAAAAUCAAAUUUAUAGAUCUAGAGAUAGGGCCUGAUAUAGAAACUUAUUUCAUUAACAAUACAAAUUAAUAAUUUAUAAAAUUGAUCCCAAUACCCUUUUUUUCAUAAAUUUACUCCCACUUAAACAAAAUUUUAAAAAAUAAUAUAACAAUUGAGUCGAGUCAAUUACCCAUACUAGCUUCUACGUACUUCCGCCCAAUUUUAGAGAAUCCUCCCUCUUUAUAUAUCUGAAACCUAAAAGUUUUUUUUGUCUCAGUUCACCUUUUCAAAUAAGGGUUGCAUUAAAAAAUAAAGAAAAAAAUCACACACGGAGUGGACCCUUCAUUUGUCAAUUUGUAUCAAAGAGGUCCCAAACUGCUUUUAAAAUAACCAAAUUAUCCCCAGUAUUUCAUUUUCAAUCAUAAAUAAGAGCAUGCAACUUGAUACCAAACAAUAUCUUAAUCAUUUGAAUAGCGAUGGAACCUCCUCAUCUAAAUAAUGAGAUUGAGAGUUUAAGUCUCCUUAAGUGUGUUACAAGAAUAAAAUUUAUCUUUUUUUUUUCUCAAUAAUGGGGGCGAUCUCAGUAAACGUUUUCAACAAAAUAUACUUUGUAAUAUAAUAAUAAAAGAAAAUAAAAGUGAGUAGAGUCACCGAGUCAGAUCAUUCCUUAGAUUAUUUUACUGAAAUAAAAAUUAACAUCUCGUUUUCACAAAAUUUGAUCGAUAAGAUGUCGAGAUGUUUAAAUAUAGAUUACGUGUGACAAGACUCUCUAAGUGGUCAUAAUUUUCGAGAGCUUAGUGCCUCACGUACCCUCAAAGAUUCAAAGCUUUGUCUUUAGCAAGCACUUGGUGAGUUUGGAUGACGAUAUGGAAAGCACUUCCGAAUAAACACUUCCUCCUAAGUUCGUUUGACAUUUUGUAGCUCAUAUGAUCCAAAGAAGGAAACCCUUUGCCUGCCUUUGAUUGAUUUGAUGCGAAGCUAUUCACUUUUGCAAAUACAUUUCCGGAACUGAAGCUUCAUUAAAGUCGAUGCAUUCACGAAAACAGAUGCACGAGAAAAAACAAUUUUUUUCUUAAUUUAUAUUUGUAUUAGAAUUGUAAUUAAUAAAUUUGACCCACCAUAUCUCCUUAGCCUUAGGAAGACAAUAUUAUCCAAUUCUUUUACCAUAAAGAUGUUUGAUUAUCAUAUCUAAAAUACAUGAGGCAUGUGACACGCCUUCCCCCCCCCCCCGCCAAAACCACACCAGACUCCAUCUUUAAGGAUUAGAAAUUAGAAUAAUACUAUAUCUUAUUGAAAUAUAAGUUUUGUGUAUUAUAAAUUUUUUAAAAUUUAUGUUAUAUUUCUCAAGUUUUUGAUUGUAUGUUCGAUUUUUUUUUUUCAUAUUUAUGCACUUAAUUGUUAUAAGAUGCAAUAAUAUGUUUUUUUUUUUUUUGAAUACUGAUUAAUCAUCAGAUUACUGUAUUACACAGAUAUUUACAACAACUGCUAUUGUAGCAGAGAUAUUACACUGAUAUUUACAAUCAGAUAUACAUGAUUAGGACUUACAUUAUUACAAUAAAUUCUAUGAAGUACAUGUCCAGACAAAUAACCCCUCACAGGAGAGGAAUGCUCAUACUCCACUUGCAUUUCGCAAGGGAGAAUGAUUUUUAAAUAUAAAAAAUAUUUAGCCCCCACAAAAGUAUUGUGGGGGCUAGAACCGCUGCCCUCACAAGCCGAAGUGGCGAUGCAAUAAUAUGUUAAAAAAAAAAGAAUGCAUCACAUGACAAGACCUUCAUAGUUAAAUGGCAACUCACUAGCAAUAAGUACAUAAAAAAAUUAGGUCCAUAAUCACUCUAGUGGAUAAUUUUGGAGAAUUUGUUAUAAGACAGAUAAUCUUUUUUAUUUUAUUCUUACACUAAUUCCUUAUUUGCAAAUUAGAGGGGAAAAAUGGGUAUAAAUUCCUACAAGCACCCAAAUAGUCAAAUGUUGCUUCCCAAAAUGUAUACUGAAUAUUAUAAUUCUCAAUAUAAAAUAAAACGGGCAACUUUAGGUUCAUUUUCUCUUCAACGAUUCACAAUUAUCUCCAUCAUUUUCAGAAUAUCAACUCAUGUCAACUUGUGCCACAUUAUAUAAUUCAAUAAAGAUUAUAGUAUCUUUUUUAAAAAAAAAUCUAUUUAUGUGAUUAAAAAAGUGCGGUGGAAAGGAUAAAUUCUUAGAUAAAUAAAAUAUAUUCAAAAGAGAAUACAACAAGCAUACUUGUGAGGCUGCCACGUGCAAACUUUUAAAGAAAAGAAACAGGAAUAAAAUUAAAAUAAAAUACUUUUGAAAAAAGAAAAAAUAAUUAACUACAUAAAACUUAAUUAUUAGGCAGACACAAUUCUUAUCAAAAAGGAAAAAAAAAAAAAAUACACAGUUUGUUUGAUUCAAAUCAUCAUUCAUGUAAUUGAUGGUAACCCUAUUACAUGAAUGCUUGUCUGGUUUAGGAUAGAGAGAUGGAUAAUUUCUGCCUAUCAUAUAUGCAGACGAUGAACAAAUAUAUCACAUGACGACAAUUGGCUAUUUACGAUAAUACUACAUUAGUAAAUAUUAGAAUACAAAAAUAGUACCACAUAAAAAAAAAUUAGGUAGAGCAAACGAGGCCUACUAGGCAAGUAAAAUGAGAUUUUGAAUUAAAUUCUGACGUCUCUAUUUCGUCUCUGUGAAAUUUUUUUAUCAUUAGAAUCAUAUAACCUUAUUUGAUAUCGAUGAUGAUCCUGACAUCGUAAAGGAGAGCGAUCGCAUUCUAUGAGAGCUUACUUGGCUUUCCUUUGGGUCAAAAUCAGAUAAGCUGCCGUCUUGAGAAUCUGAUUCGCUUGCGGAUAAGCCCUCAUCUUCAAUAUCAUCCCGAAGUUCGGAUAGUGAUUGAUCGGUGGAAUCACUUUCUGCCUCUGUGGCACCUGGAGAAAAAGAAUCAUAGGUGGAUUCUACGCUUUUCACCAUUAAGUGCUAUGUUCCUGUAAUAGAGCUCCAAUUCUUUCCUCCGCCAUGGCAGUAAAGCGCCCAACAGGCUCCAGUGACUGCUCAUGUUUUGAUUUUUCCAGCCCCUGCAAAUGAAAUGCGAACUUAAAUUUAGAGCAAAACUGCUCCUAUAUCGAUUCCAACGUUCACCAAGUAAACCAAACUACACAUCAAAAGAAAAUGAAAGAUAAUUACACCAGAAUGCUUAAAAUAGAGCUAGGCAUUGGCAGUGCAGGAAUUGGGAGAAAAAUGAAAGAUAAAACUAAAAGGGAACUUCAUUUUCAAUUUUAAGGGAUAAUCCUUUCAUUGCAUUUUGUGCAUGGAUGCAUUGGCUUGCCAACCAAAGCAGAGAUCAAGGGGAAAAAAGGGAAAAAUCAAUCAAAGCACUCCUAAAUCCUAAUACCUCCAUUUUCUUUUUUUGCCACUCCUGUCAUUUCCGUGAUCCUUCAUCAUAUUAGAGCUAUGACAUAAUGCUAAAUCUUGCAUUUCUCAAUUAGAGUUUUAACCAAUUGUAUAUUGAUGCAUUUUGGAAUUAUCUUGCAAAUUAACGUCAAUUGUGCCACAUCAGUCGGCAGGUCACAACCUUUCUGUUAAUUACUUGGGUGAUGGGGACUAAAGUUGGCAAGAAAUGAAAUAGAAAUUUGGCUGGGACUCUUGUUGGGCUGUGCUUUUCCUUUUUCAAUCAAUUUUUUUUUUUUUGGGGACUAGUCCAUUAAAUUCCCCAAAAUAAGGACUGUAAUUCUUUGGUAUUAUUGAUUACUCUCCUUCGUUCUAUUGCUGUUUAAAUUGUGAGCAAGAAAAGCCAGUCUAAACAGAUCACUAAUGAGGGUGUUCUUGGAACCAAAAAAAAAAAAAAAUGGUCAAUAUUGACACGAAUAAUCGGGGCAAGUUGCCACUGGCCAUAUUCUGAUAGUUAAAUUGAGGAACUAAAAGUUUCCCAGAAAAUUUCAUCACUCAUAUGGCCACCUCCGGUCUGUUCUAACAGUUUGUGUGAAUGCUUUUCUUUUUCAUUCUCGUCCAUAUUCAGGAGUUAAUGACUUUCACAUGUAAUUCUCAAGAUAUGUUUGAAAAUAAACAGAAAACACUUUGAAAGUUGUCCAUUGGAGAGACAAACUCCAAUCAGAGAGGGAAUCCUUUAUACGUGUACCUGUUGCUGUUGGAUACUUAGACUAUUUUAGAGUUGCUUGAGUUGUGACAAGUUUCUGCUUAUUAUUUAUUUGCUUAACUGGUUUUGAGAUAUUAUUAUUUAUUUACUACAUGCUGGUAUCUGUUUCCAUGUGAAAAUUGUUUAACAGUUUCUCUGUGCCUUGUGAAUUGAGCAUGGAGGGAAGCAAGGAACCAUGGGCAGAGAUGGUUCUGGCUAAAAUGCAAUCAAAGUAGGCAAAAUGCAAGCCAACUCGGAGGACUUUGCGGAUAAAGGUAAAUGAAUGCUCCCUACUAAUGAAUAAAGUUGCAUGGAAAAUUUUGCAUUUUUCAUGUUGCUAGCCUUGGAACAAAGCAAUCAAGGGCGGUGAAAAUAUAAAAUAUGACUAAAUAUUACAGAUACAAAACGAUUGUAGGAAAAAAGUAACGCAAACACCACAGGGUCUUAUCUUAUUAGAAUGAGUGAAAAUUAUUCUAAAAAAAAAAGGGGAUAAGAUUAACCACUUCAAAGAUUUGAUUCAAAAGAGGGCUUCAGCAGAAAGAAAAAUCAUUUCUUUGGAUUGCUGGGAAGUGUGAAGUAACAGCAAUGAUUUUGCCGACGGCAUUUAGCACUUGCAUCCAAGAAGAGAGCUCCCUAGUCCGCACUUGAUCACACGAGGGAUAAAUGGACUAUAAAAUUGAAACAACAAGGCUGUUUAAUGCAAUACAAGAUGAUUCAACACACCAUCUUAAAGUACGUUUCAUUUUUUAAGCUUCUCAUAGAAAAUAUUUCAAAUCUCAUUUUUAAUGGACAUUUUUCCCUCUUCAAUAUCAUGUUCCCCACUUAGGUCGUCCUUUUAUGGGAUCCUUUUAUGAGAAACGAGCGAAGAAAACUAAGGUAGCUCCUUAAAUGAUGGCUGCAAGCCCUUUUGAUGAGAUGGCAAUCGUGAGAAACGAUAUUUUUAUUCACUAAAGCAGAGCAGAAGCCUUGGAGCUCAAGUCUUCCAUCAUUACAAACAGGGAAAGACAAGUAACCCAAACAUUGAAACAAAGAAACCCAAAAAAAGAAAAAAAAAUUGUAAAACAAGAAAUGGCAGAGAAAUUUUGAUAGCUCUAGAAGAAGCCCUUUCUUUCAUUGAAUUUCAAAGCAACUUAUAUAGAAACGAAAAGAAAAUUCAAAAUACAAACCAAAAAAAAAUCCAACUCAUAAUUUUGUCUAUUAUUGUGCUCCUUUUGAGUAAGGCGAGAGCUUCAGACUCUGUGGGUAGAGCUGGAAUUGCUCCCUUCUUGGUGGUACUGAGGGCUCCACAGGCAUUUGCAAAUUUCAAUAUCUCCCUCAACCUUGGUUCAUCCUGGAGUUUAAAAAAAAAAAGAAAACCAAAAGUGGAUAAAUUACCUUAAAAUUAAAAUUAAUAUUAAUAAAUAGCAAUUGUUAUAAUAAUUAUGAGAAUAAUCACUCGGCCUUGCCGGAGUGGCUAGACCCACUCUCUCACAAGUGUGAAGACUGUGGUUCGAACUAUUAAAAAUACUGUGGGAGUUUAAUUUUAAUUUCCUUCUUCAAAAUUUGAGUGAAGAUAGUUUUUUUUCUCUCGAAAUGCGAGUGGAGUUGACAUCCUUUAAAUAUUAGAAAUAGUUGAUGUAAAUUAGUCUCAAUAAUUGUCUGAUUGUAAAUAUGAGUUAUAGUAUCAUGUAAUAUAUUGUAAGCUGAGCAAUAGUCUUGUGUAAUUUAAAAAAAUAAAAAUAUGAGAACAAGUUACCUCAAUAGCAGAUUGGUCAUCAACAAUCUUGCAUAGAAGAGCACCAACAAAUGCAUCACCGGCGCCGGUUGUAUCUACUGUUUUCACACGAAAAGCAUCCACUGCUCCUUUGAAACUCUACAAUUUUCACAAAAGCCAAGAAGACUAAUUAGAGUAUAGUUUCCCACUCCACACUAAGAGGUAGUAACAUAAGGUUAUAAUACUGUUUUAUUAUUAGAAUUGAAUAUGCUAAUAGUGAAGUGAACCUAUCUAUGGUCGAAACAAAACCAUUUCGAUUAUUAAAACUUCAAGGUGGGUUUAAAAUUCUACCCACACACCCUUAAUAUUAUUAAAAUAAAGAUAAAAUAUUUCACCAAAGUUCAAGUUGGAGGGUGGGGGCUCCUCACUUCCACAAGCAGAUUCGGUUCCAAGGAAAAAGAACUUGAAAAACAACAACAGGACUUGUCCUUUUAACGUCAGCCAAGAGACAACAUCACCUAUUGCUAAUGGCUCUUCAACCAAUAAACACUUUUAACCAGAACUUCAAAUUUCCCCAGCACCUCAUUAGUCUACUUUUUUCCGAGAAUUAAACUUUUCUAGUACUUUUUUUUUUUUUUUUUGAAUGAGAACUAUUGCUCGUGAUGAUAUUUACAAUUAUAUAUAUACUGAGACCCGUUUACAUUAAUUUUGAUAUGGCACCACUCAGAUUUUUAACCCUCUCAAAUAUUCGAGGGACGUCAGCUCCCAUCCUAGGAGAAAGACUGUCUUCACUCAAGCUCUGAGGUUCCAAGGAAGAAAAUUUAAAUUAAACCCUUACAAUACGUCUACGGAGGCUCGAACCACUUCCCUCACAUUUGUGAGGGAGUGACUCUGGCCACUUGGGCUAAGUCCAAGUGGUUAACUUUUCUAGUACUUGCAACUUAAAAUGAGCCCACAAAAUCAUAAAUUCACAAGUGAGUACCCAGCUGGGUGCAAGUGGGUCUACUCCAUUUUUAUCAACACAUACCACCAUACCAACUGUUUACAGCCAAAUGUCUAAAAUUUAAGCAACCUUCAUCUAUUCAACUAACAAUCCAACUAAAUAAAGAAAUUGAAUUCAGCUUAGCUGGCAAGUUUUAUGUUUUUUUUUUUUACCUUAGUGUAGUAUCUACAGCCAUGCUCUCCAAGGGUGACCAAAAGGAGUUUCAAGUUGGGGUGCCACAGCGACAAUGCUGAUUCAUCAUCAAUCUUGUCACUCCCGGUGAGGAAUUCAAGCUCCACAUCACUGACUUUGAUUACCUCCGCCUUGUCCCAGAUGCUCAUUAUCUGCUCACGCGCCUCCUCCGGCGAGGGCCACAACGGCAGCCGGAGGUUGGGGUCGUAUGAGAGCAGGGCUCCUGCUUCCUUGGCUGCUUUCAUUGCCUCCAAGUGUGCUGAUCGGCAUGGCUCCACUAUCAAGCUUAUUGAUCCAUAGUGGAAAACUUUGGC
rnacentral:lncRNA from 1 species